rnacentral:lncRNA from 1 species
UGAUAUUUGAACUCAAGAAAUUAAAUAAACAAAUCUCUUUAACAACCAAAGCAUUUUUUUUCUUAGGUUCUCAAGAUAUUGAUAUGAUAGAGUUUAAUUUGUUCAUUAGGAUCCUAAAAAUCAAUUGUCAUAUCUCAUGCACGAAUCAUACGGAUAAAAUGUUUGAAUCCUUUUUAGGAAGUUUUGAUUCUAUAUUUUUAACAUUAUCUUUAUUUUUAUGGUAAUUUAAAUUUUUAUUUUAAAAAUAUUUAUAACAGUGAUAAAUAAUGCUUAUCAAAAUAUUUUUUGUUUAAAAAUACAUAAAAAUAAUAUUAUUUUUUUUAUUUUUUAAAAUUUAUUUUUGACAUCAGCACAUCAAAACAAUCUAAAAAAAAUCAAAAAUUUAAAAAACAAGAUUGAACCACACUCAUAAACACCAUCUAUUCCUAGAAAAAAAUAUACAUAGUUUUCGAGGCUUGGCAUGAAAAAUUUGGACACGUGCUCCACAAAAGUCUAGAAUGAAGCCCAUCUAUCAUCAAAAUCCGACAUCCAAAACCUUUUGAAGGAAGAGGUUCGCAUUGUCGGGCUAAGGCCAGGCCUUGAAGAGCCAGUCGUGUUCUAAGAGAGGCCCUGCCGGCAACUAUGGAAGCUUAUGGACUCUUGUUGGAUAGACCAGAAUCUUCCACACGAUUAAGGAUUUUCUGUUUUUGCUUUUUCAUUGAAACAGUAUCUGAUUAAUUUCAGAAGUAAAAACAAAUUUGAAUUUUGAAUUAGUAGAGUAAUAAUAAACAUUCACCUUCAAUCGGACAUGGAUGAUGUUUUUUAUUUUUAGAAUUUUUUGGUUAAUAAAACACGGUACUACUGUGAAUUUUAUUAAAAAUUAACCUAAUAAUUAAAAAAAAAUUCUCUUUUUUUAAAUUUUAUAGAAUUAUAUAAAAAAAUUAUUGAAUUGUUUUAUACAAAAUAACCCUUAAAAAUAAAAUUUUAAUCUCGAUUAAUAUAUAAACUAAUUUAAAAACAUUUUUUAUCAUCAAAUAAAUAAAUAAACAAUAAAUUAUUCAUAUAUGCUUGUAACUAAACUAUAGUCUUCCAACCAAAACCCAAUAAAAACUUCUUCAAUAGUUCUCGUAGCCUUAUCUAAAAAGACAAGAAAAAUCCAAUAAUUCUCAAUAUAUAUAAACUUGCUCAAAGUCUUCUUAUAAAAAAAAUUAAAUUCUUAAUAUAUGCCUUUCAAUGUACGGAUCAGUGACCAUCAUAUAACUAAAUAAUAAGGAGCAAUUUAAAUGAAAUUCUCGUCAUAACAACAAAUUGCAUGGCUGAUUUUUCCCCCCAUCAAACUGAUGCUCCCAAGAAACUAGUGAAUAAUUUAGAAAUUACAUAAAACAAAUAUAUAAACUGAAUUUUGAAUGCUCUCAUUUUAUUUUUCUAAUGCUAUGUCUUAUAUGCCACUACUUUUUUAUUUUUUCCUUCCAAUUUUUUUCACAAAACAUUCUCUCUCAAAUGGAGAUCAUAAGAUAACAUUUUGUGAGCACUAAAUGCCAUAUCUCAUCGUCUCCAAGGUCCUAGACUAGUAGUUAGGGCAUAACUGCAUAUGGAUACAUAGCUAAAGAACACUACAGAACCUUCUGGACUUUCCUACACAACAAACUGACGUAUGAGUCCAAGCCAAACCCCUUCCUUUAUCUUACACCACAACCCACCAAAAAAAUCCAUAACAAAGCUCCCUUUCUUCUUUCAUAUUAGUCGUCAACAAUGGCUGAUGGCUUCUUCGGGUACCCUUUUAGGCGCUUGUUCUUGAGCCCUCCAGCAUACCAUGAAUGGUCUGGAUCAACUGCUCUCAUGGACUGGCUUGAAUCCCCAACUUCCCAUAUUUUUAAAGUCAAUGUACCAGGUAAAUAAACUUUAUUGAAUUAGGCAAUCAUGAUAUUUGAUGCUUGAAAUUUUCUUGAAUUAGUCUUUUCUUAUUGAAGUCUGAAUCUUUAAGAGGUAAAAUUUGAUGGGUUGUUUUAGUUCAAGGGUAAUUGUAUUGAAAGAUUGAAUCUUUUUGCUAUCACAUUUAAACCUCUCUGGAGUUUUCUUGAGUUGAAAUUACUUGAUUAAUUCUAGUUAAUUAAGUAAUUUAUGUUAUUUGUGAGUAGGAUUUAACAAAGAGAACAUAAAGGUUCAAGUGGGAGAUGGGAAUAUUUUGCACAUAAAAGGUGAGGGUGGCAAAGAGGAAACCCAUGAGAAAGACACAGUUUGGCAUGUAGCUGAGAGAGGGACAAGAAAGAGGGGCUUUUCUAGAGAAAUUGAGCUACCAGAAGAUGUGAAGCUGGAUCAAAUCAAAGCUCAAGUUGAAAAUGGUGUUCUCACCAUUGUUGUUCCAAAGGAUACCAAUCCAAAGCAAUCUAAAGUUAGGAACAUCAAUAUCACUAGCAAGCUUUGAAAUGAAUAAAUCUAGAGUUUAAUCUGUUCUGGAAUUGGCCCAAGGUUCUGUAUGAAUAAAUAAUCGGAAGCUUGCUGGACUUUCCUCUGUUGUGCUUUGUGAUGUGCUAAUCAAACUCUCGUUUUCUGUAAGGCAUUGUCUUCAUUUACUGCUACUAGUUUGAGUCCAUUUCCUGCCUCCUAUUGCAGCUGAUGCAUGGAACUCCAUUAUAAAAUCAACACAAAUUGAAUCCAUAUGAUAUUGCAGAGAUGCUGUGUCUUUGCAAUGCAUCAGAUGCACAAAAACUAUCUGCUAAACAGCACUUAUCUUGAUGGCAUGCAUAGUGAAACAAACAGAUCCUGAAAAAGAGUCCACAAACGAAAUCAUGGAAUGCUACCCUGCAUCAGCUCAGCACCAUAAAAAAACUAUAGAACCUUGAUAAGGAAUAUCUCCUGUUUAUGCAUAAAGGAUUGGGAAUUCUGAAGAUAUAAGAGGUUGAGAAGUACUCUGCUCCUUCCCAAACCCGAAUAAAUUUAUCUUGAACCGCAUCCUUCUGCCUUUCAACAAUCAACAUUAACAUUAUUUCGAAGUCCGAAGAGAGAAAACUCCAAAUCAGACAUACAUGCGUCAUUCGGUUUGUCAGGUCGAGAAGCUGAGGGUUUUCGUCUUUGUUCAGUGGAUUUAGCAAAGAGAACAUGAGUUGUUUGAGUGGAAGAUGGGAAUAUUUUGCGUAUAAUGGAUUGAAAAGAUGCGAACAUGAGGUGAUUUUUUUGAAGGAGUCCAAGAGAGCAGUUAUAGGUGAUCUCACAUCUAAACCUCUGUCUUUUUCCCAAUCUGCUUUUGUGAUCUCACACGACUGGCCUAAAUUUAUAGGUGGCAUGUUUUAGGUUUGCCCAUUAGGCUGGGUUACGACCACAGAAGUGCCAUCUCCAGCAUCUAUGCUAAAUUGCUAAUGGAAUUCGGAAGGAGUCGCCUCCUUUGAAUUCCUUUAAUUCGUUGACAGAGGACUCCUGGUGCACUGUUAGAUUGCAUUCGCGAAGUAUUUCAUCGGGAAGAAAACCAGAAACAAUAAAAAUAUAUUUAUUUCUAGAAUAAUUUUAAAAUAAAUUUAUGUUAUUUUAAAAUAUAUGUAGAACCCUUUUUUAUCAUCAAAAUUAUUUUUUAAAAGAGAAUAAAUUUAUGAAUUUAAAAUUUAUAUUUAGAACCCUUUUUUAUCAUCAAAAUUUCUUUUGCUUCUGCCUGCUUCAUAGACCAGCGGUGAAAAAGCACAAUACCUCUAGUUAUAUUAGAUAUGUAACUUGGGAAUGCAAGUCUGAUGAACUGCUUACAAAUAAAAUACCAGUGCCCCGUAUCUCCAUCGUUGACUACAGAGUUACAAUAGUAUCUUGAUCCGAGGGACAUGUAGACAGUUCAAGGAUGGGACUGCUGUGGAAUACUCAAAACGGAGGGCCCUGAUUCAUUGAGUAUAAGAGAAUCCAUUACAGAGCAUGAGGGCAUUGGGUGUUUCGUCAAGGAUUUGUUGUCAGAAUACGGAGAAUGCAGGGUCAGAAAUCAAUGGAAGCCGUUGUUCUGAUACACGCUUGAAUUUGAGCAAUGGUUGAGCAGGCAUUCGAAGAAGAAUCUCAGUCGGAAUAUCUUGGUUACUGCCGAUUGUUUCGGCUGAAGAUGGCCGAGAUUUCACUUCACUGGUGCUCAUAUCUCCCAUAAAUUUAAACAAGAAAAAUUUAUGACAAAUUAUUCAGUUAAUGUUGGAGCAGACUAUGCCUUUACCUGAUAUUUCAGGAAAAAACGAACCUCCAUCAAAAGAUUGUAUAGUAAUCAGACCCCAAAUCGAUUAGACAAACGAAAGAAAGGGGGGGAAUUCACAUAAUAAAACGGAAAAGAAAACCCAAUUUUUUUUCCAGGAGGAAACUAAAUUUCAUCAUCUGAGAUUUAUACCAGGAAACUUUGUAGGAUAUCAAAAGUGGAAAACUUUUUUCUUCUCCUUCUGAAACCCUGCAAAUCCCUCUUCAAGCUCUCAGGUUUUUAAAAACCCUUAAGCCACCAAUGACCCGAGUAAUUUAACUAAAAACAACAAAUUUAAAAAAAUCUUAAAAUUUAAUUUUCAAUGAACAAAAUAUAAAAAUAUGAUGAAAUAAAAAAAAAUAACAUACAAAUAUUAACAAAAAACACAAUUAUAAGCCAAAAAACAACCUGAGCCUACUCAAGUUAACUCGCCAAACCUAUGAGUCAAAUUAUAAGAUUGGAAUAACCUGGAAAAAAAAAUGACAAAAAAUCUCAAAACCUAAUUUUUUUAAAAAACCAAUGUUAAAUUAUGAGGUGGGAAAAAAAUAAGUAAAAAAAAAAAAUCGAUGUCAACUCUUGUUAGGUUAUAAAACAUGUCUUUGCUAUUUCAUCGGAAGCACCAAAUAUAAAAAAACCAUGAAGAUUAAAUCUCAACAAAUAAAAUUUUGAAGGUUAAAAUUCACAAAAAAAAAAAAAUUAAUAACACAAAAGGAUACAAAAGAUAUAAAAAAAAAGUAAUUAAAAGGAAUAAACAAGCAUAGGCCUACCUAGUUUAACUCACCUAACCCAUUGAUCAUGUUAUAAGAUCGAGAUAACUAUAGAAAAAUCAAGAAAACCAUGAAACCUAUUUUAAAUGAAAAAACAAACAUCGAGCAAUGAGAUCGAAAAAGAAAAUAAGUCCACAAAAAAUAAAAACCCAUGUUAGCUUAUAAAACUUGUGAUUCGAGUUAUUUGAUUGGAAGCAUCAAACUUGGAAAAACCAUAAAACCCCAAAUAUUACAAAAUUAAAUGUUAAAUAAUGAAAUUGAAAAAUAAUAAUCAAUCAUAAAAAAGAAUUUAAAAUAAAAACAUAACAAUUAAAAGAAUGAUAAUCAAAUUUGAAAGGAAAAAAAAACAAAUGAAAUGGUGGAUAAUUUUAGAUUAAUGGGCUAAAUUAAAAAAAAAUCACAAAAGAAUUAAAUGAAGAAAUGUAAAAAUAAAAAAAAAAAGCAUGUUGAAAUUAUAAUUGUCAAACACAAAUUUCAAGGGAUGAGAGAGAAAUAAGAAAAAGAUAAAAAGGCAUGUUGCCACAAUCCAUCCAAAAACAAUUGAACAAGCCCGAACAAUGGAGAAAGAAGAUGUCAUUGGGAAUCUAAUGACACGAUAAAAGAUAAUUUUUUCUCAUCAAAUAACAUUUGGUCCUCAUUUUUUUAUGUUUUUUCUUUUGGUUUUUUGUUAAAUUUAGUUUUUUUUUUUAAUUUUAUCCUCUAAUAUUAAAUUGGUUAGGAAUUGAGAAUCAUGAUUUUUUCUUGUAGGAUUACAUUGGACUCAUGACCGAGGUAACAUAUUUAAAAGGUUAACUCAGGUGAUAUUGACUUCUUUUUUUAAUUGAUUUUGUUUUUUGAUUUUAGACUCCAACACUUUACAUUCUAUAUUUUUUUGGUUUGGUGAAAAAUUAUCAUGGUCUUGUGUAUGGGUUGCAUGGUGGCAAGUGCACUAGGAUUCCUUAAGUUAUUUUCCCUUUUUAUUUUGUAAUUUUUUUGUGACGUUCUUGAUUAGAUUGAAAUGUAUCUUUAUUAAUUUUUUUUAACAUAACCACUCUUUUUUUUCUUAGUUAGACGCAUCAAUUUCAUAUAUAUAUAUAUAUAUAUAUAUAUAUAUAUAUAUAUAUAUAUAUAUAUAUAUAUAUAUAUAUAUAUAUAUAUAAAUACCAAGCUAAUUCAACUCAGAGGUAUAUAACUUGAAUUAUGAUUUUUAUUGCUUUUAUAAAACACACUUAUGGUUUCUUGUUUUUUUAACCCACAUGUGGGUUCGCAGAAUAAUUAUUGAAAUAUAAGGACUUCGUUAGCCGAAGAUUCAAAAAUAAACCGUUGAUUCCACAACGGGCACCAACGCUCAGAAUUCAAAAAUAAAAUAAGAAAGGGGAAGGAGAGGACGAAGAAUAGUGUGCGGGUGCACCGAUGCUAAAGCUACACUCUCAUCAUUGCAGGACUAUCCUGUGGACCAUGUGAUGAUCUCUGGAAGCCAUAAAUCCUUUGAAGUUUGGACCGCUAUUGACGGCCCAAUCAAAAUCAUAAUCACCACAGUACCGUGACAUCUGUCCAGCCAGCUGUCGCCACGUCAAAUCGCCAACCUGUCAUGUAAUGACCCAAAAAAGUAAUAAAUAAAUAAAAAGCAAUGUAUAUUAUAGGGUCCCUAAAGUAGUAUUUUUGUAUUGUGACCGACCAAUGGUAGCUUUUUGACUCUGAAUUCUUAACAACGAGGAAUGCUAGCGAAUCUGUUCUGGGUAUACGAUCAUUAACAGUUGUCAAGGAAUAAUCUCUCUUCGAUUCUUCAUUCAUUAUUACUUUUAUUUCAAAGAAAAUUGCUGGAGUUUAGAGAGAGAAUCAAAUUGCUAGUACACGCCCGUUGUACCAAACCAUGCCUUAAACAAUAAUUAUUAUUAUACUCUAAAAAAUUCCCUGUGUUAUUCCAAGUGAAAGCAUAAUUAUUAGUCCAGAGGUUCAUAAAAUCAUGAAAGCAUGUGAUAUAUGUGAUAUUAGUAUAUGUUUGGUAUUGUAAUGUUUAAUAAUUUUUAAAAAUAAUUUUUGCUAGAAAAUAUAUUGAAAUAUUUUUUUAAUUUUUUUAUUAUUAAUAUCAAUAUUCAAAAUUAUUGAAAAACAUAAAAAAAAAUACCAUGAAAAUGAAUAAGUACCUAGUAAAAUAAGUUCAUCUUCAUCAUUCCCUCAUUCAAUAGUUUUGAACUUUCAAUUUGGUAUAAUUUAUAGAAAUAAUGUUAAGAUUAUACUAAAUAACUUUUACCUGAAAGCGUGUGCGUGGAAGAAUGAAAAUGAAUCAAGAUGCUCUUGAACAAUCAAUAAGUUAUUUAGUAUAAUGUUGUUUGGAAUUGUGUUUUAAAUUAUAUUUUAUUAAAAUAUAAAUUUUUUUUUAAUAUUUUUAUAUUGUUUUUAUGUGCUGAUGUUAAAAAAUUAUUUUUCAAAAAUAAAAAAAAUAUUAUUUAAUAUAUUUUUAAUAAAAAAACACUUUAAAAAACAAUUAUUACCGUGCUCUAAUAUUAUUCAUAUUAUUCUAAGUGAGGUAUAAUUAUCAUAGCCCAUAUCAUAAGGCCAAUGGAAUUAUAAAAGCAUGUGACAUUAGUUUAUGUUUGAUAUUGUAAUAUAUAAUAUAUUUUUUAAAAAAUAUAUUAAAAUGUUAUUUUUUUAGAUUUUAUUUUUGAUGUUAGCAUAUUAAAAUUAUAUAAAAAAAACAUCUAUAUUGUUUUCCCCUCGAGAAUCAAUACCAUCUGUUCCUAAAUUAAUGGCGUGAAAGUACGAGAAUCAUCUCCAAUUUGUUUAAUAUCUCCAAGAAUGAGCUAGAUUAAUAAUGUUCAACGCAAACAUAUAUAAUUGGAUGCUAACGUGUAUUCAUUAACUUAUUAUAAAACUCUUAAGUAAUUUAUUGGAGUUUGUUAAGGGAUCUUCAUUUGAAAAGGUCAGAAGCCCACUUGGAAUCGAUCGGUGCAAAAAAAAAAAUAUAUUGCUGCGACAAUUUGAUGAUAGACAACCAUACAAGUAGUACUUCUUGCUGCUUUAAUUUCAUGAACUGUCCAAUGAAUUAUUAAAUACGAGCUGGUUUCUGAACUUAUUAAACUAAAAGAAGACAGCUUGGUUGAGAUUUUUUAUUCAUUUUUUUAAUAAUAUUUGAAUCAAAAGAUGCUUGAUUGAGAAUCAUUAAUCUUUGCAAUUAUAGAAUUGAAAUCUUUAGAAGGAUUUAUUGUUAUUAUUAUUUGUUUUGCUUUCUUCAUUGUAUUUUUAUAUGUAUAAUUUUAUCAAUUAUAUCCUAGAUUUUAAGUAAGAUAUCAAAGGGAGGGUAGUUCAUAUGAAAACGAAACUUAAUAGUUAUAUGAAAUUCUCUUGAAAAAAUUUAGUUAAUCUGAAUAAUAUAUCAUAAUCUCAGCAAUUUUAUUUUUUUAAAAAAAAACACAUGUGAUAUCUUAAAAACAAGAGACAAACAUAUAUUAAUUAAGAUUUAAUAUUAAUUUUAAAUAUAUUUGUUGUCAUGUAUUAAUUAAACAUACAAUUAAUAAAUAAAUUAUGCAUUUGUCUUGCAUUUUUUUAGUUAUUAAGAGGAAAAUUUCAUUAUGCAUAAAUUUAUUAAUUUGAAUAGUAUGUUAAAAUAAAAUGAUAUAUUUGAGAUCUAACUAAAAUUAAAAACAUUGUGUGUGUGUAAAGAAUCAUUAAAGACAUCAUAUAUAGAUGAGCUCGUACUCAUUUGAUUUGAUGAGAGAAAUAUUUCAGAUAUAAAAAGAAAUAAAACAUGUAUAAAUCAUGUUAUUAUGUUAUUAACUUGGCUGAAAAAAAUAGAUAAAAUAAUAUAUUGAGAGGAAUAUUUUAUUAAAAUAUUAAAUUAAACAAUUAAAUAUAUAAAAAUAUAUUAAAAACUUAUUCAUCGUAUAAAUAAGGACGAGGCCAUUUCCUUAUAUUUGAUUUGUCGGUGUAGUAACUGUAGAGAGAUACAAAUGUGAAGUAGAAGUGUACAAGCAAUAAUGACAAUACAUAAGAAUUUGCCCAAAAGACAUGAAUACCGGGUAAGAUGCUUGUGCCAAAUUUUAUAUAAAAAAAAUAAUCACAUGCUCCGUUAUACAGGCAUUAACCUUUUGUCUUAUUAUUAUCCUUGCAAUUUCAUUUUACUAAAACUUUGCCAAAAUUUAUUUGAAUUGUAUACUUUUUUUUUUUUUCUUCAAAUUUGUAUUCUAUACUUGAUGCAUCACUCCUUCAAGGUAAUGUAUUUCUCUUCUUUUUUUUUAAAUUAUAAUUAUUAAAUCUAAUUUGAGAGCCAAGAUUCACUAUAAAAAAUUAAUUAAUUCUGAUUAAAUUGAAAUUCGAUCAAAUCAAACUUAAUCCUUGCAUCACAAUAAAGAAUUUUAUUAGGAUUUACUUAAAAUGAGGGAAGAAUUUCCAUAAACUAUUUUUAAACCUUCCCUUAAUUAAAUAUAUCUACAUAUCAGUCACAUCCAAAUCCCACGUACCAACAAAGCAAGCUCCAAAAUUAGCUUAACUACUUUCAUUAGUUACUAGAAAGUGGGACCCAUCUCAAAAUUUUCUUACCAACUUAUCAUCUACAAUUAUUUAACUUAGUUUUUAUUUUAUUCUUUUUUUAAAAAAAAAACCUAGCUAACUCUUUCACGUAGAGUCACUAAUGUAACUCUUUAAUAAAAUAACCUAAUACUUUAUGCACAAGAAUGCUUUUAUAUUUUUAAAUUUUAUAGAAUAAUUAAAUUAUUAUAUUAUCUUUAUAGUUCAAAUUUUUUAGCCUUGAUUACUGGGAUUUGGUUGUCACUUCAUAGUGGUUUGUUUGUUAAUAUUGUUUAGUCUUAAUGAUAUUUUUUUUAUUUUUGCAUGAAAAAAAAAUAAAAAAGUUGUCAAUGCUUGUCUCACAUAUAUUACCCGCUACACGCCUUUGGUGGCCCGUUCAGCUAGCUCUAACAAUUAUAAUUGUGAUUUUGCUGUAUCAUUUGAUUCAUUGUGGUGUCAUUUUUUUUUUUUUUUUUAUGAGUGACAAGUGUAUAGUGGUUUGGUAUGGUUUAGUCCAAAAUUGUUUUUCUUUCAUUUUUUUUCCUUCUCUUUCUUCCUUGAAUUUUGUGUUGUUGAUGCAAAAAAUCAUACCAUCCCUUCAAUUUUUUUUCUUUUGGUUAAGUCCCUCUUAUCUUAUUUGGAAUUAUUUUAUUUACAUUGAUGGUUUCUAAUUAGAUUUUAUUUUCGAUUUCAUCCCUGAUCAUUUUAAUUUUUUAAUUUGUAUUAAAAUUUUGUCUUCAUUCUUUUAUUUUCUAUUUGUUUUGUUUUCAAUCAUUUUUUGAUUGAUUUAUUCCUUUUUCUUUUCUUUUUUUCAGUUCCACCUUUACGCAUUUAUUUUCAUUUAUUUUUUAUGCCAAAUUUGAUCUUAAUUCUUUUAUUUGUUAUUUUUUAAAUAAUUUUCUUAAUGGAUUUGUUUUGUACAAUUCCAUCCAUGAACAUUUAAUUUCAUUUGAUUUUUUCCCUUGAUUUUUUUCUCAAUUUCAUCCCUUAAUGUUUGUUAGAUUAAGAAUCGUGUUUCUUUGUUUUUUGGGUUUGCCUUUAAUAAGGUCACUCUAGUCUCAUGACCCAGGUCAUUGAUUUGAAAGAUUAGCCCAAAUCGACUUUCAUUUUUUUACUAUUUUUUUACUGGUACUUUCAUUUUUUAAAAUAUUUUUUUGCUAUUUUUUUUCUUUUCUAUUUAUAAGGACAUCUUAAUUUCAUGUUGUAUGUCAUGCAUUUGAUUUGUUGACCCAAGUUGUCUGCCAAGUUCACUCGAGACUUUUUUUUUAAUGUUUUUACAAGUUUUUUAAAUUUAUAUUUUUAAAUUGGCUUAUAAUAGACUUCUCGAUAGGGUCUGGAUCUAGGGUUUCAUAGGUUGCAAGCUUUUUAAGAUUUAGCUAUAUUUAGGAUGUUUGUCUGGGUUUUUGUUUUUACAAGUUUUUUAAAUUUAUAUUUUUAAAUUGGCUUAUAAUAGACUUCUCGAUAGGGUCUGGAUCUAGGGUUUCAUAGGUUGCAAGCUUUUUAAGAUUUAGCUAUAUUUAGGAUGUUUGUCUGGGUUUAUUUGAUUUUUACAAAUAUUUUCAAUUGCACCCCUAUAUUUUUUUAAUCUUUAAAAAUGUGUCAUAUUUCUUUUAAUUGAUAUUUAUUUUAUUUGAGAUUGUUUUUUAUUUUUUUUCAUUAAAUUGCAUCAUCAUUGGGAUUUUCAUAUCAAAUUUUAAUCUUUAAAAAUUUGUCAUAUUUCUUUUAAUUGAUAUUUAUUUUAUUUGAGAUUGUUUUUUAUUUUUUUUCAUUAAAUUGCAUCAUCAUUGGGAUUUUCAUAUCAAAUUUUAAUCUCUUUUUUGUUGUUUUUGUAGGUUUUUUUAUCAAUACUUUUCUACUAAUUUCAUCAUUCAAAAUUAAAUUGACUGAGAAUUAUGUUUUUUUGAUUAAAUUUAGGUAAAAAAAUUACAGAGUGCAAAUUUUAGAGAUUAAACCAAGUUUAAAAGGUUUGCCAUGUUUUUUUCUCUUUUUCUGAAUUGAUGUUGUCUUAUUUUUUUUAAUCUUUUUUUUUCAACUUUUUUUUUUUUGGUUUGAUUAUAUAUUUUUUAAACUUUUUUUCUUAUUUAUUUUGGUUUGAUUCUAUUAGGUUAAUCCUCACCAAUUUUUUUUUACUUCACCUCCACCUUUUUUUAAUCUAUAGAUAAUCUAUCUUAUUAUAAAUAAUUUUCAAAUUCACCCCUAUGAAUUUUAAUCUUUCAAGUUUGAUCGUAAUUCUUUUAAUUAUAAUUUUUUUUGUUUGUGAUAUUUUUUUUAUUUCAUUCUCAAUGGGUUUUUUAUGUCAAAUUUUAGCCCCAUUGUUUUUUUGCUAUUCAUUUUCUUUUGCAAGUUUUUUUAUUAAUAGUUUUUCAAUAAUUUUAUCCUUCAAUAUUAAAUUGAAUGACAUUUAAGCUUCUUGAUUAAACUUGGAUUCAUAAUUUAACAAGCUAUAUUUUUUUAAUUGGACUAUCUUUAAGAGGUCCAUCUAAAUUUUUUUUGGCCUUUUAUUUGAAGCUGAUGUUAUUUGUUUGUUUUUUUUUUUUAAGUAUAGCUUUUAUUUUCCUGGUUUUCCUCCAAUUAAAUUAAUGUUGGGUUGUUUUUGAUAAUCUGAAUAGACUCGCUGUAAUAUUUUUUGAUGAUUUAUUUACUGUUAUUAGUUUUUUUUAUAUAAAUACUUAAAUUGCCAUACCUUGAACUUGAAUUUUUUUUACCUAUUGUUUUUUAUACAUUAAUUUUUUUUUUUUUUGUCCCGCGGCAUCGUGGGCAGCAUAUCUAGUCUUUUUCUAAAUUGAAUUAAGCUCCAGAUCGUAAAUUUUCCAACCUGACGAGUUAAACUUAGUUUAACAACAAUGGCUCUCUGAGGUGAAACAUGCACGGCAAAUUUCCUCUCCCAAAUCGUCAUCACUACUCCAGAAUCACUGUAUCAUUGUUGGAAAUUCUUUAUUAAACUAGAACAAUAGCCAACUCAGCAAAGGAAGUGAGUUCUACCCUCCACUGGCUUGCCUUUUAACAGUGAACAGCAACAGCAAGUUCUGUCUGUCUCCGUCUCUGCGUCUCUCUCUCUCGCCCCCACUGGGGUCACAACCAUCUAAAAGAAGUCACAAACACAUUCACAUCUGCUACAACAACAAAAUUCAAGAAAUCAUACCACCCCAUUUCCAAUUCUGAGGACCCUCAAGUCCCAAUAUAAACUUUCUUGAUUCUGUCCUAAACUUGAAGAAACCAAAGACAAACUUAAUAACAGCUAGUUAACUCUACUGGGUUGGUUUUCAUUUUUGGUGCAUUUUUGGUUUUGCCACGAAAUAUGAAGCCGAAACCAAGCCUUUUGCUUUUGAUAACCUUCUUUGUGUUUCUUUCACUGAAUUCUUUUUCUACUGUGGAGUCAGAUCUAGCUUCAGAGAGGGCAGCUUUGGUUACUCUGCGUGAUGCAGUUGGAGGCAGAUCACUCUUGUGGAAUCUUUCAGAUAAUCCAUGUCAAUGGGUGGGAGUGUUUUGUGAUCAAAAGAGAAGCACAGUUGUUGAGUUAAGGUUACCUGGCAUGGGACUUUCAGGGCAGUUGCCUGUUGCACUUGGAAAUUUAACAAGUUUGCAAUCGCUGUCUGUAAGGUUCAAUGCACUUUCAGGGCCAAUUCCUGCUGAUAUAGGCAAUAUUGUUUCUCUACGUAAUCUUUAUUUGCAAGGGAACUUCUUUUCUGGGGAGAUUCCUGAAUUCUUGUUCAGGUUGCAGAACUUGGUAAGGUUAAACUUGGCUAAUAAUAACUUCUCAGGUGUGAUCUCUCCAAGUUUUAAUAAUUUGACUAGGCUGGAUACUUUGUAUUUGGAGGAGAAUCAGUUUACUGGUUCUAUUCCUGACUUGAAUUUGCCACUUGAUCAGUUCAAUGUUUCUUUUAACAAUUUGACUGGUCCUGUUCCUCAGAAGUUGUCUAACAAGCCCUUGAGUUCUUUUCAAGGGACCUUGCUUUGUGGGAAGCCUUUGGUUUCUUGCAAUGGUGCUUCAAAUGGGAAUGGUAAUGAUGAUAAGUUGUCUGGUGGAGCAAUUGCUGGUAUUGCUGUUGGAUGUGUGAUUGGAUUUUUGUUACUUUUAAUGAUCUUGAUCUUCUUGUGUCGACGAAAGAGAGACAAAACAGUAGGGUCUAAAGAUGUUGAGCUGCCAAAGGAGAUAGCAGUUGAGAUCCCCAGUGGGAAGGCGGCUGGGGAAGGUGGUAAUGUAAGCGCAGGGCAUGCUGUGGCGGUGGUGAAAAGUGAAGCUAAGAGUAGUGGGACUAAGAAUUUGGUGUUCUUUGGGAACACGGCGAGGGCAUUUGGUUUGGAGGACUUGUUGAAAGCUUCUGCAGAGGUUCUGGGAAAGGGGACUUUUGGCACUGCCUAUAAGGCCACUCUGGAUGUGGGGUUGGUGGUGGCUGUGAAGAGGCUGAAGGAAGUAACGGUACCGGAGAAGGAAUUUAGAGAGAAGAUUGAAGGGGCCGGAAAGAUGAAUCAUGAGAAUUUGGUUCCAUUGAGGGCUUAUUAUUACAGCCAGGAUGAAAAGCUUCUUGUUCAUGAUUACAUGCCCAUGGGAAGCUUAUCUGCGCUUUUGCAUGGUGAGCAUUUCCUUCUUUUGCAUCAUGAUUUAUUCCUUUUGGUUCUUCUUGUUAUAAUUACUUGAUUUGAGUUUUCUGACAUGCUUGUUUCAUGUAAUGUAAUAAUUUUGUUGAUAAUUCGGCAUUGUACUGGAAACCUCAAAAUUUUUGCUGAGAUUUACCACAUGUAAUUUAAAAUCCUGAGCACAUGGUUUUGAACUUCCGUUUUUGCUUCACCUGAAAUAGAUCAUAUUUAUCACUAUUAAGCUGCCUUUAUUUGGUAGAAAUCAUGUCUCAUCGGAUAGCUGACAAUUAAAGUCCUCUCAAACUGCCUUGAGGGAAUAGUUAUAUCUAGACAACUGCAGUUUGCAGUUGCAUACUGGUCUUUUGAAAGUAUUCAAUCAUGGUUUUGUGUCUAAAUAUUAGCGUUGGCAUGAUUGGGAUGAAUCAUUGGAUUAUGUUGAGAUUCAUUGAGCACAGAAGAUUAAGAUGACUUUUGGAACGUUGGUUUUGUUUCUUAUUACACUUGGUUUCAACUGCAGGAAAUAAAGGGUCUGGCAGGACUCCAUUGAAUUGGGAGACAAGGUCUGGCAUUGCCCUUGGAGCUGCUAGAGGAAUUGCAUACAUCCACUCUCAAGGCCCUGCAAGCUCUCAUGGAAACAUCAAGUCAUCAAAUAUCCUCCUUACUACUUCACUUGAAGCCCGCGUCUCCGACUUCGGCCUUGCACACCUUGCAGGUCUUACACCCACUCCCAACCGUAUCGAUGGCUAUCGUGCACCAGAAGUGACAGAUGCUCGUAAAGUAUCCCAAAAAGCUGAUGUCUACAGCUUCGGUAUAUUGCUGUUGGAAUUGCUCACUGGAAAGGCUCCAACACAUUCACAAUUGAAUGAUGAGGGUGUAGACCUUCCAAGAUGGGUCCAAUCUGUUGUCAAAGAAGAAUGGACUGCUGAGGUGUUUGAUCUAGAGCUUCUUCGAUCUCAGAAUGUAGAGGAAGAGAUGGUUCAGCUCUUACAGCUCGCAAUCGAUUGCACUGCCCAAUAUCCUGAUAACCGCCCUUCAAUGUCCAAGGUGAGAAGCCAGAUUGAGGACCUUUGCCGCUCUAGCUCUCAAGAACAUGACAUUGUAGAUGACAAGCCCUCGUAACAUACUUGUUGAGUUGAUUCAGAUGCACCACCAUCUUCUCAAAGGACAAAGAAACAUCACCAACCUGUCAAUGUUUCCUGGUGUUUCAUACAUUGUUUAAUGUAGCGCUUCAUUUGUUUGUUUAUUCUCGGGUUCAUUUCAUUUAUGAACUCUUCCUUUUCCAUUCCUUCUGUCUAUUUUCCCUUACCUGUUUUCGUAGCUGCAGUUUACUUCUGCAUUUUGUUUUACCUUUCAUGUCGUAUUUCAUAGGAGAACUCCAACAUUAUUAAUAUUUGUACUUGGCUGUGUGUAAGUGUGAAUAACUAGCAAGUUAUUUCAGUUGAGUACAUGAUCCUGUAAUUCUUUUUAGCAUCUUUUACUUUGUUGCUUUUCCUUUGUAAGCUUUUGGUCAUGAAUGUUAAGCUUUUGGUACGUGAGAUUCUGCUAGAUUUACAAGCAUGAAUGUUGGCCUUAUUUGUUUUUUAUAGGCACUUCUCAGAGGAGAUGAAUUAUCAAGGUCUUAUUAUGCAAUAAACAAUCAUGAUUUGAGAGGCAGGUGCUAUGUCAAUCUGAUCAUCAAUUAAGGGUCAUGUCCAUUCUUGGUUUGAUUUGGACAAAGACUUGGUCUUGCCUUUCUCAUUGUGACAUAUCGAUCAAGACAGAAACAUCCUACUUGAGGUUACAGAGACUUCUUGCCACUGAUGUAAAUUGGAAACAGCCCUUGACUACAUUCGGAAGAUGUGGCUUUUGCCUCUCUCUCUCUCUCUACGGUGACUAGUUCCAACAAAAUCUCGUCAUAAUUCAGAAUGACACUUACCCGGUUCAUGCUUAGCAUAACGGUCACUUUCUAUAAUUAUUUCCUGGCAAUCAACAAUAUGGCAUGCUUCCUCAUGGGAUAUGAUUUUAUCUUCUUCUGUUCUCCAUGCUUUUGCAUAUCUCCCUGUCCGUUAUUAGUUGGAAAAGGUUUUAUAGCAUUGAACCAAUGAUUUGACUAAAAGAGGCCACUUACUCCUGGAGUUCUUCAACUUUCUUUCAAAAUUCAAAGAUGCAUGCUCCUUUUCUUUACUCUUUCUCGAGUACUUUCACAGAGAAUUGGCUGCUUCUUUUUUUCCUUUUUGAGAAAUAUACAUCGGGAGACUCAAGCAUUUCCUAUUCUUUUCCAGCAAAUGGACAGCGCUACAGCUAUAUAUUGUCUUCAAACAAAUUUAAAUAAUCCAGUUUCUUUGCUUCUAGUGGACCAGGUUUAUUUGUUGAAACUGAGUUGUAUGACGUUGCUUAACCUUAUAAAGUCCCCUUUGAAACUGCACUAUUGCUUCGGGCACAAAUCUAAUUUGUUCAAACUGAGUUGUAUGAGCUCAGAUCUAAUUUUGUUCAAGAGUGGGACCAUGCAUAUGGGGUUUGUGAUUUAGCUCAGAUCCAUAUAACCCUUCUCUUUCUGGUACCAUUAAAUGCUAAGUCAAGACACUAUGAUGUCCAUGGCUGAGUUAAUAUGUUAGGUCAGAUGUCGUUGCUUUGAUGCUAAGAAACUAAUAGCUUUUACAAUGUUCGAAAAUGAUUUUUGUUAAAUUUUAGAUUCUAGUAUAAGAAAAGAUAAGCAGCAUGAGUUACACCUUUGCAACUAAAAAUCAUAAAAAAAAUAAAAAAUUUAGAAAAAAUAACAAAACCAAAUCAAACAUGAUUUUUCUAACCUCAUUCAAGGAGUUCCAUGCAAUGAAUGGACUAACAAAGCAAUCUUUCAUGAAAUUAGGUGUUGAAAAUCUUUUAAACUUAAUCUAAUGGUCAUAUAAAAAAUUAUAGUAUAUUUUAAUUAUUAUAUUAAUUUAACGUGACUAGAUCUGCUCUUAAAUCUAAUUUUUUUUUUCUAAUUCAUAAAAAUAUCUAUUAAGUCAUUUAUAUAGCCUAUUUAUAACAUAUCCUCAUCUAAUUACAGUAAAUGCUUUGAUUAUCUAAAACUUUUACUUUCUACUCGUAUGAUUAUAUUACUCAGUCAAUCUAGUGAAAACUCAAUUGAUUAAAAUAUUUUAAAAAAAUAUUAUUUUGAAUUUUAAAAAAAUUAUAUAAAUAUAUAUUAACUCGGGUUAAUCUACCGGACUCAUAACUUCAGAUUUGUGCCAUGUUGACUUAGGGUUUAAUAAUAUGAGUUUUUCACAUUUCAGUCAUAUAUGUUCACAUGCAUUGCAGAGAUUCAUAAAUUUGCAGAGCGGUUGCAGUAAACACAAUUAUCUUUGGCAUCAUUCUUUGAAUCUAAGUGUUGUCCAUGAAAAAAAAAUCAUUGCCUUAUUGUCUAUCUAAAUUAACAAUAGUUGAGGUUGUUGAUUUGAAAAUGAAAUCCAGUAAUCCUGUCAAGAAAGUUCUUUAGAACAUGAAAUCCAGGACUAUAAAGCAGAAAAUGACCCAACAAAAGAAGGGAUGAACCAAAUCCAUAUAGGCAUGUAAGGGAAAAGACUUGACCUAGGACUAACAUGUUUUGUUGAUGCUAACUCGAGAUCUUUGUUGAUUCUCUCUAAAACUGUCUUGUCUGAGAUACACACCACCGAAACCAAUCAUUCAACCUUAGAGAUCACUCAAGAAAGUGAUCCUACCUUACAUGUCCUAUAUGAACUAGAAUUAACGUGGAAACAAUCUAUACGACACAACAAUUUUGUACUUUCAACGUUAGUUUAGUAUCUUCUCCCUUUUGUUUUAAUGGGAAUCGAGUGGAAAUUGGAAUAGCCACAAGGAGCUAGCAUUGCAUGGUGAAAUGGCAUGGGAUCUUUCAAUAUUGUUGUAAUUAUUGGUUGACAAAUCUCGAAGAAGAGAAAAUCUUCGAUGCUUACCAUUAACGUAAUUCCCACUGCUCUUGUCUGCCAUCUGUAGGCACCAAGGUCUUCAACGCAGAGUGGCAGCCAUGAUUUGUACAUGUCCUAAUGUGGUGGCAGUUCGAUAAUUAAGAGUGCUAAUCUAGUCGGCAAUUUGAUAUAGGAUAGUAGGAUGUCGUUGGCACGUCCAACUGUCCUCUGGGUUGCAUUAUUUGCAAUUAUUAAUAAACUAUUAACCAAUAUAAGAAAGAAAAAAACCCUAUUUGGUCAAUGACAGCCGCAUUACUGACUCUGGAACAAGGCCCUCUAGCUACUAGAGUUCUUCAAUCCAGCUAAGUUUUCUGCUGUCUACACAUUAGCUGACACCAUUGCCUGUUUCUCCCUGGAAAGAUCUUUCUGCUUUCUGCAAUCCAGGUCACCAUUCAGCAUCUAGGUUUACAGACAUAAAUUAAGACAUCGAGUUGCAAUUAUUGAGGGUGUUCUUAGCUGUCCGGGGAGAUGGAGAUCACGACUGUUACCAGCAAGGCAUUUCCUUGAGGCUAGAAGAAAAGCAGAAAGGAAAGGGAAUUCCAUGCCCCUACCUCCAAAAAUUGUGUUGGAAAAUUAUUUUAGUUGCAGCUUUCUGCAAACCUCCAAUAAAACAUGAAAUACAGAUGCUUAAAUGACACAAUCCCUUUGUCCUCCCAGUAAAAAUGCUGCUUUGGUUUCAUUUGGACAUUGAUCAUCGUAACUUUUAUCAAUAUAAGCACAGUAGUAAACAUUACAAAUACAAGAAAACUUGCAAAAUAAGCAGGCAGGCUCAAAUUCCGAAGAUAAAAAUACACGAGGAAAUAAAUUAAUAGAAAAUGCACAAACAACUCGCUGCAAGCAUUAUGGUACUGUACAGUGUAAAAAACAGAACAUUUGGAAUGCAACCAGGAUCUAAAAACCAGCAAACAAAUUCCACCAGGAAGAAUUUGUAUUGCCUACUCUGUGCUUCUAGGCUUAGUUCUUCACCUUUUUUAUUGUAAAAGAGAGCAUCAACUUGGAGAAAGUCAAACUACAGAUCCUGUUGCUGUUUUUGAGUGCUUGAUAAGCCAAUCAAUAACAAUGUCUAUGUUUGUGGAGUCCUUGCAUGAGAUCAUAUAGCAGCAAACCUCUCUGUCUGUGAUUGAUUCAAGACCUCUGAAACCAUCCAACAAAAUACAAAUAAGAAAAAAAUGUCUACCUUUAAUUCUUGAGGGAAAUAUUUGAAACAAAAUCUACAUCAUAUAGUGGGACUAAACUCACAGCUGGUCCACCAAAGCUUGCUUGGAAAAAGCUUCUGACUUGUCAAUUUUGUUGCCAACGACAAGCAAAGGGAUUCCGCUUAAGGAAGGUUUGGUUAGGAGUUCAUGUAACUCACUUCUAGAUAGGGGAACAGUGUCCCUGUCAGCUGCAUCAACUACAUAUCUGUCUUUGCAUCAAUCAAGAUGGAAAACAAAAGAGUUAGUCCAUUAAACAGACACCAAGGAGAAAACAACAGCGGAUAUCAUCCACUAAUGCUCUAGCUAACUAGAGUGAAGGCAAUAUAAAAAGAAUACAUGGAAUCUGCAAGAAUAAGGAUUGGGACAACUAUUCCAAGUUAAAAAAAAAUUAUUGUCAUCUUCCCUUAUUUUCCAUUACCAAAAGUAACAUGACUUCUUAAUGCAUUAUUUAAUUUGAGAAAAUGAAAUUUCCUGCAUAACAAUAAACUGUAUGACUAAGUAUUCAUUCAGCAUGUUAGCAUUUCUUCUCUCUUUUGGUGAUUGAUGCUUUCCUAUGCAGCAAGAGAGAGCAUUUCGGAUGUGACAAGGUAUGUGUUCUAUUAUCAGUACUUUUUUUUUCCUGUUGGAAAAGAGAAGUGUAAAAGACCUCCUUCACAUGCAGUUAAAUAUGUGGAUGUGCGUGGGCAACAAAGAAAAAUAAAAGUUUUGGCUUUAUGGGUACAUUACUAUAGACAUUGAGAAAAGCCAAAUAUAGCCUACAUCCAUAACUAUUUCAAACAACGUCAUCGAUUGAGCUAACAAAAGCCAAAGCUCUUUUGGGGCAAAAGAUUCAUUAGCCUUAAAAAAAACCAGUUCAAAGAUCAAGAGAAGAGUUAAUCAGGGUUUUCAUGGAAAAAUUCGAUGAUAGAUGCGGAUUACAAGGUCUGGUAUGACUCUGACUUAUCAUCCUGGAACUAAAAGAUAGUGUUUCUUGCUUGUUCCUAAUAGGUAGUGCAUUCUAAUAAAAUAAAAAUAAAGAGAAGUGAUAAUGGCAUAACAAAGAUGAAUAAGAGAAUGGGUGGUAUUACAGAAUCGCAGAGACUCCACGACAAUAACGCUCCCACAUUGUACGAAACCUCCGCUGCCCUCCAAGAUCCCAAAGCUUUAUAGUCACAUUGCCUUUUGUAACUUUUCGCAUGUUGAAUCCAACCUGGUUUUCAUAGUAUGAAAAGUCUAUAUCUUUUAAACAUCACCAAAAGCUUUAUUUGGAAUUUGUUCAAGGAAAAGAUACCUACAGUUGGAAUCAUGUCCUCACUGUAGCCACCUGUCUGGUAAACAUAAAAGGAAAAAUGUUAAAAGGGAGCCACUCACUAAAACCCAUAAAUAUGUGCCUGGUAUGUGUCAACUUACAGCAAUGGAAUUAACAAGAGAUGUCUUUCCAGCAUUCUGAAGGCCUACAAGGGAUAGCUCCAUUUCUUGUUUAAAGAAUAAGCUGAUUAAAUGUCAGAAGCAGAAGGCAAAAUCAAUGGAAAGAAGUAAUGUGCAUUGGUUAUUACAGUUAUUAGACAAACAGAUUAAAAAUAACAUUAAGAAUAAAAAAACAUUGUGCACGCUUGGAUAAGUCAACAACAUUCCAAGAGAAUGUGAACCAACUUUCCAGAAGUUCAUCAAAUAAACAUUUGACCACAGUUGCUUUCUCAUACUAGGGAAGCUGUUCGGCUCUUUCUAAGCCAAAAAUGUUGUAUGAGAUAAAUCAAAAAGAUCAUUUCUACUACUAUUGCCUCCAGAAUAAGUAUCAGAGAGCCAGAAACAAACAGAAAUGAACCCCUCACUAUCCUCUUCAUACAAUGGCUUCCAGUUUCGGUCAGGUUCAUGAGGCGGUAAUCUGAUCAUAUGCAAGACAAGCAAUGACAUUCUCACAGAAAAUUAUACAGAUUUUAACUCCAGCACAGCCGUGCAGUAUUUUUAUGCAUAUGUUUAAUCUUCAGAGCAGCUACUCUUUAUUGUCUUGAUAAGUCCAAGAUCAUUAACCACAGAGCAACAACACCUACCCGUUUGAACAACAGCCAAAACUCUAUGAUGUAAUGACUUUCUACUCAUGGCAUGUGGUUUUAUAUAUAUAUAUAUAUAAUUCCCUUUUAUAUGCUUAAGCACAAAGCUCAAAUCCUUUAUUCGUUUAUGUUAAUCCAAUUUUCCACAACAACAUUACUUUUCUCUUUUUGUUCAUGUGUAUUCUCUAUCAACAUCUAGGCACUGCUUAAAGAUAACCCAUUUCCAAAAGCUCCUCUUUUAUCAUGAAAAUCUUGCAUACAAGAACUAAACGAAACGCAUAAAAGAAACUAUGCAACGAAAUACUCCUCAUGACCAAUUCAUGUCUCUCGAAUAUUAAUCUUGGGAGAGCUAAAACGAAUAUAGUCAAGUUUACAAUCCACAUAUCAUCCCAUCACAAGCAUACAAAUUAUGUCCACAAUUUUCUUUUCCUUUUGAAUAAUUUUAUGUUGCUCACAUUAUUUCUUAACCUGGUAUACUUUUCGACUAUCAAUUUUUAUACUUUAUCACCUCAAAAUCAUUAACAGAACAAAUUGAUAUCGAACAUACUAAUUAAGCUACAGCCGAGCAGCAACUUAACAAAAUAAAUCUAGUUCAAUUAAUCAGCAUAUAUGUUAAAUAACAUCACAUCUUUUCCAAAACAUUCUCAUCAUCCAAACAAAACUAAAAGAGCAAACACAACCAACAAAAUAAAAAAGAAAUACCAAAAAAUUAAAAAAAAAGUGAGGGAAAUUUACCUCCUGAGCCAGUUUAGAAGGGAAUCAAGGAGACCCAUUUGGAGAAAAGUAGAGAUUUUAUCUUGAAAGGAGAGAUUUUUAGACUAUAAAUCCUUUGUCUCUUGAGGGGGAGAGGAAGGAAAUGGGAGAACCAAGGGAAGUAAAGUGAGAGAGAGGAAAAAGGAAACUACGCCGACAGUAUCUCGUAUCUGUCAGCUUGCUGGAGUAAUGAAUAACUGUUGUGACAUGGUGCAGGGGAAGAUAAUUCAUGUGUUUUUUUUUAUUGGAUUAUUUUUAUUUUAUUUUGCAAAAACCCAAAAAAAAAAAAUGUUUUUGUUGUAUUUUUUUUAUUCCACGGUUUUAGGUUUUGUUGUCCUCAAUUUCAUAACCCCAUCCGGAGCCUUUCAUAUUUCCACAUUGAUCAAUGCACUUUUCAUCUAAGUAAAUAGAAUUUAAAGGAAAUUAAAUAAAAAAAUCUAGUCAAACAUUUUUUUCUUCUCUUACAUCUGAAUUUGUUUUUUUUAACAAAAAAAGAUAGAUUUUUCAUUAAGAAAUCAAUAAAAUUAGAUGGAAUUUCGUAGGUUGAGUGAGGUUUGUGUUUUAAAAUAGAAUUACUAGAUUAAAAAAAAUACAAAUAUAUUUAUUGAAAAAGAUAAAGAUGACGAUAUUAAAUAAAUAUAUUUUUGGGAUAAUUUUUAUAUAUAGACAUAUUACUCCUGUCUCAUUUCUCUUUCUUUUAUAUUAUGAGAAAUUAAUCAAACCAUACCCUAAAAUAUCUUGAAUCAACUCUGAAGUAAGGUUAAACUGUCGCAUGAUUAGCGAUUAAUUGGGGUUAAACAAGCAGACAUAUAGUUUAGCAAUUAUAUAUCUAAUAACUUCCUUCAACGAAGUAGGUUUGAGUCCCAAUAACUCUAAGUUUUAUUUAGUUAUUAUUAUGUAAUGGAGAAACGUGUGAUCCUCUGCGAGUUCUCCCCCUCAUUCUGUUUGUUCUUGACCAGAAGAUGAAGGGCUUAAAGAAGCAUGCCACCGGCUGGCGUGAUAUAAUAUUUUGUUCCGGAGAGGAGUUGAUUCUUCAAGAUCUUCAGAGGCAGUUCGAGUUUGUCAGCUCUUUACCUUGUGUGCGUUUUCUGUGAAGCAGAUUCUGAUGAUCCAAGUGUUUCCGGCAUGUUUGGGAAGCUUUUGUUCAGACAGUCUUCUUGCAUCAAGUUUCUAACUCAGUUUGCUAAUUUGAUAAGAUUCCUGGUAUUGGCAGGCCAUGCUCAUCCUCCUGAGUAUUUUUUCCAGCUUCAUCUUUCAAGGGAUUUUCAACAGGUUUCUGAUAUUGUUGGCCGGCGCUGCCGACGCUUUUCAGAGGAUGAGCUUCAUCUUUCAAGGGAUUUUCAACAGGUUUCUGAUGUUGUUGGCCGGUGCUGCCGACUCUUUUCAGAGGAUGAUGUCUUAUUCCCUUGGAAGCCUCCCUGCCUUGUACUUGCAUUAUCACUUACAUUAUCUCUAAAAAAUGUCAACAAAAAAUGUAAUUAUUUACAAAAAUGCCAUUACUUUUUAUUUAAUGAUUAAAAGAGGUCUUAUAUUAAAAAUAUUACAGUUUUACCAUUAAAAAAAACCUAGCCACCACUAUCGACCUUUUCUCCUUCAUUUUCUAAAUCCUAACCCUAACAUUAAAUUUCCAAAUUCAAAGGAUGAUUUGGGCAUACCAGAACAUAUAUAUAUACAAGACGGAGAUGAAAAGUUUAUAUUAACAACAAUCAUGAAAUACAAGGGUCAUAUUAACAAAUUAAAUUGAUAAGAGAUGGAAUUAACAAAAUCAAAAUGUUAGAGGGAUAAAAAAUAAUUUAACCUUUUUACCUCUUAUCCUCUCCUUCUUUUAAAGCGUGUUUGGUAGUGUGGUAGUGGUUGCUUUUCAAAUAGCUUUUCGUGCCGAAAUAUAUGUCAAUGAUGUUUUUUUAUUUUUUAAAAAUCAUUUUUGAUAUCAGCACAUCAAAACGAUCUAAAAAGUACAAACAGAACUCAAUUUUAGUAAAAAAAAAAAAUUCAAAUUUGAACGAAACACAGGUACAACCGCACUACCAAACGGUCCCUUAAGGUACCGUUUGGGAACGUGGCUGCGGGUGAGGCCACGUAAAUUUUCGUUUGGUAACAAAAUGAAACUUGCUUUUUACUGGUAGGACCCACUCAUUUUUUAAUUGAAACGGCAUUUGGGAGAAGCAGCAUUUUGGAACAGUGGAGCAUGGCUCCACUGUUCCCUAAACUUAAACAACGGUUUUUUUUUUUUUUUUUUAAAUUUCAAAAAACCAAGAAAAGUUUUUUUUUCCUGAAAAAUCAGUGCAAUUAAAAAAAACCAGUGAUUUCACUCGCACUAUUCAUGUAAACGUGAAUAUUUUUUUUUUUUAAAUUAGUUUAAGGUGAAUUAAAUUUACUUAUACUGUAAUCUCAAUUUUAUUCCUGAUAAUAUUUUACCUAAUUUUAUUGCAUGCUCAAAAAAUCAUGAAAACUAUAUUUUUUUUUUCGAAUAAAUUUUGUACAUAAUGAAAUUGUAAUUUUUUUUUUUAAAAAAUUGAGUUUUAGUUAAAAAAAACUAUUAUUUAAUAACACUACAUAAAUUAGAAGGAUAUAGCAUGAUGACGUAGCAUUUGUGGAAUUUGAUCGCAAUUCCAAUUAUGUUCUUGCCGUGUCAGACCCAGUUAAAAAAAUUAAAUUCAGUUUUUAUUUUUAUUUUAAUUCUGUUUUAUUCAAAAAAUUAGAAGGAGAUCACUUGAUAAAGUAACAAAAAAUUCAGUUUUUAUUGUUGUGUUCUUAAGAAAUCAUGAAAAAUAUAGUUAUUUAUUUCAUGAUAUAAUAAUAGUUGUUAAAUCUAUAAUAUUUAAAUUAAAAGUAUUUUUUAAUUAUUUUAUAACCUCAAUUUGAAAAGCAUUUUUUUAACCAAACACAUUAAAUUACUUUUUGUUCAACCUCAAUUUCAACCACAGUUUUAACCAAACAUAUAUUUUUUUUUAAACCAACCUCAACUAAAAGUAUUUUUUAUAAAACAAUUUUUUUAAAAUCACAACCACAAUAGCAAUCACAAUACCAAACACACCCUAAAGCUAGAAAAGAAGAGAAGAAAAGAAAGGAAUUGUUUGUCAAAUCGUGGAAUUCAAUUCAAUUCCAGUCCCACAUUUUUUUUCCAUUUUCCCCCCUAGUCUUUUAUCUUCCCUCGCGCCAUUUAGCUCCCCCAAACACCCCCCUCCCCUCCAUUUCAAUAUUUCAAAAACCCUAGAAUACAAAACCCCUAAUUUCCCAAAUCAAAACCGAAACACUAAACGCUAAUUAAGAAAUGAAAUCAUUUCUCUUGUUAUCGAUUUUAUUUAAAUUUCGUAGAUAAAGAGACAGUCUUGGCUUCAUGGAAGUGGAUUAUGUGAGUGAAUGAGAAGCUCGAAAAGAAGAAAAAAAUGGCGCAAUUGAAUGUUUCAAAAGUAAUUUCCACAAAAUCCGAGCAAGAAUUCAAUGACAUUUGUGAUUGGUCCAACGAGCUUGACCAUCUUCCUUUGCUACAACGUCGUAAAUUAUUACUGUCAGGGAAACCAAAUACAACGUGAGUGAGUCAAUUUUUUUCAUAAAGUUUUCAUUUUUUAUGUGAUUAUGUUUAUGUUUUUAUUUAUUUAUUUGAAGUUUUUUUUUCUUUUAAGGGGCAAUUCCUUGUGUGAUUUUCUUCGUGUUUUUUUUUUUUUGAUGAUUGAUUUCUUGUAUAGGUCCAAUGUUGAUGUUGUUGUUAAAAAGGACUACGAGGAUUCCCAGGUAACUAGCUUCUUUCGCUCCCGGUGUAAUUUAAUUUCUUUAUUUUUUUUGGCAAUUGUGUGAAAUAUGGUGUUGUGGGUCUUUUUAUUUAGUGUUAUUUUUGGUAAAUUGUUGUUUGAAUUAUUACUUUUCUUGAAUUAAAUUCAUGCGAAUGCCUAUACAUAUGAUAUGAUACAAUAUUCUUUCUUCUCGCAUUUAUGUGAGGUCUACAGGAAGUUUCUGUGAGUGCCUCUUCUGCUAAUGUGAGAGAAGGUAGCAAAGUUGCAGUAAAUCAGUGUUUGCAGAAUGGCAUUGGUGGGCAAGGCCUGGUUAAGUCAGGAGAUUGCAGUAGUCAGGGGACUAAAGUAAAUGCAUAUGUUUGUUUGGAUCAGGUAAUGUGUUCAGAAGUUGCUGGUAAUGGUUUUGGAAUUGAGAAAGUUGAGACAGUUUACACUUUAACCCAGAAUUCAAUGGCGCAGAGUCAACCUGCUGAAGAAAAGAUCGAGUGUUCGUAUAAUAAUGUUCAGAGCACAUUAGAAGAUAGCAUGACUGGUUCUGCGGGUGCUGAUUUGCAAACAAUUAAGGUCAAGAGUAAUAGUUCUGAUGACUGUGCAGAUGACCUUGAUCAUGUUGUAUUGAGAGUGCGGGAAGGGAUGCUACUAUCAAGGUGUUGUUUUUAUGUCUUUUGGUGGAGUUAACUGUUUAAAGUUUUGGUGUCCUUGCACUCAUUUCUCUGCAGUGGUAGGGCUAGAGUAAAGUUCAUGGGAGCCAAUAUGGGGAAAAAAUAUAAGGAUGGACAUAAAAUUAAUCUAAAAUAACUUGUUCAUAAAUAAAAUAUGCAAACUUUUGGCAGGGCCUAAUUGAAUGAACCCUCAAAGUCAGGGUUAAACUUAACCUUAUAAAAACUUUUGAGGGAUCGUAGCCCCCCUCACCACAAGUUGUAGCACUGCCCUUGUGCCUCUGUGCCCUUUUUUUUUCCUACAAAAAUCAACUCUUCUUUUUUCGUGUAACUUUCCAGGAAAAUGUUGAGGUUGGAAAAGACAAAUUUGGAGGUAAUUUGAUGUCCUUUUAAUCUGAUUGCUGAUGUGUAAUAUUGUGUCAAUUGUUGAAGACUGCUAGAAUAUUUGAGGUGUAGGCAUUUACAUCAUGCAGCCGUUCACAUUGAAAAAUCAUUAACCUUGUUAUACUUCCCUUGUGCAAAUUUUGUUUUGCAAUGACCUCUUACUCUUCUCUUCUUGUAGUUGAAUUUCUUUGAGCAUUUAUGUACUGUUCAUUUACUGCUCUUCCUUGGAUUUUUAGACUUGACUAUAGUUCAUUAUAUUAUUAUUAUUAUUAUUAUUUGUUUGAGCAUUUUGGUGUAUGACAUGUACAUUGGCCUGAGUGGCUCCCUGAGAAACCUUUUGCUCUAUAUGCUUUCAUGGCUUUCUGUGGUGUUUAAAACUCAAGUCAUAAAAUGGUGUGACUUUUGCGAGAUAAUUGAUAAAGCUAUGUUAUGGAUUUUUUCCCCUCCCAGCAAUUUAUGUGUUGACAUUUUUGUAACUCUGUCAGCACUUGUAUAUGCUUUUUUUUUUUUAAUGUGUGCAUGUGUGAAGCCUAUUUUAGAGUGAUUACUUUGUAUUUAAUUCUCCUUGUUUCUCCUUUUGUGCUCAUUGAUACAUGUGGCACGAACAAUAUAUCUCCUGUGCAUGGUUAACUGAGUUCAGAUUGGAUUAUGAAAUGUAAGUUAACGGUCCACAUGAUUAUUUUUGGCUGGUGGAUAAAUUGUUCUCUUGACUCUUCCUGCGUGUAUGUGGAGAAUAUGGAGCAUAUUCUCUAUGGCAACAUUGAAAGGAAAAAGAAGGGAUUUUAUAUAUUUUAUACUUUGAGGUCAAUAUGAAAUUUAUUCUUUGUCAGAGACAUGACAUCUUGUUGCCUUUCUUCUGAAAGAAAGUGACUGAAUAUGCCAACUUCAGGGAUUGAACAUGGAGUCAAAUUCAUGCCAGAAACUGCAUUCCAUGCCUGCAACAGCUGAUAGCAUGGCUAGCUCAAGUUUAUCAACCAUGAUCAAUGUCAAGGCUGAACCAUUGGAUAACAAUGAAUUGCACAACUCGGACAGAAUCAGUGUCUCUAAUUUCUCCAUUAACAAGGUGCCAGUGAAGACUGAACUUGAAAUCCCCAAUAAACUGUACAAAGACAAGUUGGAUCAUAUGCAAUUGCAAGAUCGCAUCAAAAUGCUGACCAAAUGGAAGAGUUCUAAAUCAAAGAUUUCAGGGAAUUCUGAAUGCUUGCGUAAAGCCAUCCCUUCUGAUGUUGAGUAUGGCUCGACUGUUCCAGACCCAAUAAGGUUCAUCCAACCACGGAAAAGGAAGAAAACCGCCACGUAUGUCUUGCCCUCCCUAAAGCUGGACUUGUGUCUGUGAUUCACCCCCUAUUCUGUAAACCCUCAAUUUUUGGAUUUAUUGAUUGUUGAAUUGCAGGGAUUCUGUUGAAACAGCACUGGAGGAAGAUGCUCCUGGACUUCUGCAGGUAAUGCAUGCAACUUUCUCGUCCCUUUUCCAUGAAAUUCAGAUUUAGUUUUCGCUGAAAAUGUCAAUUGGCAGGUGUUAGUUGAACAAGGGGUAUCUCUUGAAGAAAUCAAGCUUUAUGGAGGGUCAGAUGAUGAUGAGGCCAUAGACGAAUCAUUCAUUGAAGAUGGAUUUGGAGAGCUUGAAGCUGUUAUGUCAAAGGUCGACUGUGAUUUUCUGAGAUUGAUAUCUAUAAUUUCUAGAUAUUUGUGACUAAUAAAAAAUUUAGGGAUUCAAAUUUUCUUCCUAUGGGCCUUUGGUUCCAUUUUUUAACAUGUCAUCAUCGUCUUCUGGCCUUCUAAUUAACUAGGAAAAAGUAGAAUUAGAAAUGUACUUUUUUAUGUUUCCUAAUUAAGUCAUGUUGUGCUUUGCAAAUUCAUAUCUGUUCUGAUGCUAGCCUCUUUCUUUGUCUGUGGUACAGCUACUUUUCCAGCGUAGCUCCUUACUAAAGCUUGCUCCCAUACAAUGUGCGAAGGCCUCAAGACCUAAUUAUUGUUUGGAAUGUCUCUUCUCCCUUGUAGAGCAGGUAACAAGUUUACUGUAAAAAUUAUGGGGAACAGGGACUUGCAGUUGUUGAAAGAGUUGUACCUUCUUUUAUCAAACACUUUAAAAAUAAUAUUUAUGACUUGUCUUCUUUAGACUCGGCAUCUUCGGUUUCGUAAUUGGCCUGCUGAAUGGGGUUGGUGCCGAGGUCUUCAGUCAUUUGUAUUUGUCUUUAAAAAGCAUAACAGGUAUUUCUGCAAGAGAAAUUAUUCUUCAAGUUAGUAUUCUCUACAUAUUGUACUGGAAAGUGAUGGUGUUCAGUUUCACUUGAAUACAGAAUAGUGCUGGAACGCCCCGAAUACGGCUAUGCAACAUAUUUCUUUGAGCUGGUAGAUUCCAUAUCCAUUGAUUGGCAGAUUAAGCGUCUGGUGACUGCCAUGAAACUUACCAACUGUGGCAGGGUUAGUGUGGUUGAGAACAGACCAUUAUCGGUAAGAACUUAAAUCUGUUUUCCUUGGCUGACUACUGGUACUUGUAUUGACAUCAUUUGAUCUGUUGCUAAAUGGGCUUGAUAUCACCACAUAUUAGUCUGCUGAUUGGCUCGGAGAGCUGGCAGGAGAGUUUUUGUCCUAGUCCAUGAAAACUGGGCAGUGCAUGACCUGGAACAGCAAUGCUCUAGGUCGAGCUAGGUUUGUUUGUGGGGGUAAAAAUACCGUCUGACCUGACGUAAGUCAUUUUUGCACUUAUUUCCAAGGGUAGUGUUUAGGCAGAUUACCCCACCCCCUUCAGGAGACUAGGGUGCUGAAUUUGAUAAUUUACUUGUUUUGAAGGCUUCCAUCAAAUUGAUUCGUCUAUGUCUAAUGCAUUCAAAUCUUUGAUUAAGGUUGGUGAAGACAUAACUGAAGGCGAGGCUAAGGUGUUGAUGCAGUAUGGUUGGACACCUAAUAGUGGUUUAGGAACCAUGCUAAACUACUGUGACAGAGUUUUUCAUGACAGGAAGAAUGAGAAGGAUAGCUCAGAGUGGAGAUCAAAAAUAGGGAAAUUGUUGAUGAAUGGUUAUAAUGGUGGAAGUAUUGUUUCAAACAAUAUCGAGACAGAGCUUAUACAGCAUACCAGUACUGAGAGCCCACAAAUUAAGAUGGAGCUUUAGUCGUGUCAUCCUAUGUUGUGCCCUGUGCGGGUCUGCACUGCAAUUUACACAGAAAUGCACCAAGACAGGUGUUCCCCUGCUUCCAAAGUCCCAUCUACUCCCUUCAGUCUCUUGCCGUAUCCUAAACGUAUAAAUAUUUAGAUAGAUGAAACCUGUCGACAGGCUUUUGUGCAGCUAACUACAUACAAAUCAAAGAACCCUAGAAUACUGAUUGUUGUGAUGUAGUGUUGUUACUCAUAACCGAAGUUUGCAUUUCUUUCUUGCAUAUCUCGUUGUUGCCUUGCGAAAAUGCAGCAAAUUGUGAUUUAUCUCCUCAUAACUUGAAUGAGAACUGCCUUGUCCAUCCUCAAACAUGAUACUAAAUAAUAUAUUACGACUUACAUUCAUAUUUAACUUAUCGACCUAAACUUGACUCGGUAGGUUGAUUCUUGAUCCAGUUAAUCAAAGCAAACCCAGAUGACUUGAGUAGCCCAAGAUGCCAUCUUGGAAACAGAGGCCUGAGCACACGUCAAUCUUCAAAGGAUCAAAACACAUAUCUAUCUUCAAGGCGUUUCAAUGGUGUGUAAAUAAUAGCUUUUUAGUCCAAAUAAAAAGAAAAGGCAGACUGUUACCAGCCCAAAAUUCUAUUUUAGUCUCCUGGGCCAAACUUUACAUUGUUUUCAAAAAUAUAAUUGAUGUAUUCCUAAAUUCAAAAACUUCACUUCAAUAUUUUUUAAUUAACGUGUAAUAUCUUCUUUUUAAAGAUUUUAUCUUAAAGGUAUCUUAAACUUCGAGGUUUCAUUUUUUUUUUUUGUUUACGUUCAAGGAAUCUUUACAUUAUAUUGCCUUCCAAUAGUUUACGGACAUCAAUGGUUUUUCUUCUUCUUUUUUCCCACUUUUUAUUUGAUUGAUUUGAACCUCGAAGUUUCUCGAAUUUGAUGUUUCAUCCACUACAAGGAUGUUUUCUUUGACAUGUAACUAAAUCGAAGCCUCCACUUUCUUCCUAAAAAGAGCACCCCCUUAAUUAUUAUUAUUAUUAUUAAUGCAAGUGCAAGUAAAGUAACCAGAAGUUACAUAGAGGAUAAAUUUGUCGACAACAUGGUCCCAAAAAAGAUUGAAACCCAACAAUAACAAAUUAUGUGUCUUGAAAACGUUAUAUAUGGAUGACAUCGACUAAGGUAAAUAUGACUCCAAUAAUUUAAAAGCUCAUGAUUUGUGAAAUUAUUAUUAGAAUAUUAUUUGAUUAUUUAGUUAAAGAUAUUCUUGAUAUAAUUUUGUGUACUAAUUAGUUUCAUUUAUAUUUCUUUUUCGAUCGAAUGUGUAAUAUCUAUAUAUAUUAGAUAGCGGAUUCGUGAGAAUUGUAUUUUUCACAAUUUAAUCUUAGAUUUGUGAAAUUAAUUUUGCUAAUGUUGUUUACAAGGAUAUCAUAUGGAUUCGUAAAUUGCUUGCUAAAUGUUAAUACUUGGAGAUUCGCAUUUUUCUAAUUUAAACACCAGAAAUACAUAGGGUUUUCUUUUUAUUUUAUUUUUAUUAUUAAUUAUUAGGGAUUGGUAAUUUAAAUUUACGCAUUAUAGCCAUAGAUUUAAAGGCUUAUUUUUCCUAAUAAUUCUGUUAGGUGAGGUUCCAAGAUAUGAUUUAUAUUAUCAUCUAAUAUACCGUCUCAAGUAAAAGUUCUUUGGACUUGAAACUUGCAUAGGCUCAUAUUACCUUUUGUCUAAUUUUUUAUCAAAUAAAUAAAAAUAAUGAAAUUCAAAUCCGUGACCGCUUGGUCAUCAAAGUUUUGAUACUAUGUCAAAAAAUCAUCUCAACAUAAAAAUUUAAAUUAUUAGGUAAGUUUCUAAGAUAUUAUUUAUGUUAUUUUCUAUAAAAAAAAAUAAAUGAAUAAUGAUGUAUUUAAAUAAUCACAAAAUCACUUACAAAAACUAAGUGAACAAGAGAUUACUUGUGAUGACAACAUAUGCACUCACUACGUGUGUGAAGGGUAGCAUCACAAUAAUUAAAUAAUCUAUCAAAGGCUUCCAACCACAUCCACCAAUUAUUAAGUGACCAUCUUUUAUUUUGAAAUUAUUGACUUUUGAAAUUUUUGUAAGAGUGUGGUAGACAUGCACCUAAGUGCUUCACUGCUAACCACCUCCAAAAAUAAAUAAAUAAUAAUAAUAAUAAUAUCAUAAAAGAACUAAAACUGAUGUGUUACAGGCUAAUUAAUACAAAUAAACCUGUUACCAAAUCUAUAUGAUCAUUUCAUAGACCAAAGAAAUCCAAAACCAGAUGGUAUUUGGAUAAUGUUUUGGAACAAAAGAAAGAGUGAAAAUAAUUGAAACAAAAAGAACAUAUCUUUAUGUUUAAUUUUUUUUUUUUUUUGAGAAAACAGAGAAUUAUUUAACUUCUUAUUUCCAACUUUCCAAUCAAAUACGUUUUCUAUUUUUUUUGGAGUAGUUUAUUAUAUUAUAAAUAUUUUGUUAAACGGAGCAAAUGAUCGAUCUAUGCACCCUCCAUGACACAUUGUCUCCCUUCCAUGGCCCCGAAGUCACUGGCACACACUACCUUUUUACACACUCCAAGAACAAUGUCGAAAGCAUAUUUGUUGCAGAAGAUAAGGUUUCUAAAAAAACAACAGACAUGCCAUUUCUAUGAGGAAAGAAAAUAGAAUAUGAAACCUUUUUCGAAAAAAUUAAUCAUCAGAUACCUUUCAUCAUCAUGAGAGAAAGUGAUGCAUAUAAAAAACAGGAAAGAUGAUAUUUCAAAAUGGCUACUGUAUCUGGUGCCCUAGUUGGGUUUUGUUGAAAUUAAGACAGAAAACCUAAUUCCUAUCCUUAUUCCCCACCUUUUGGACCCAUGAGCAUUAAUUGGACACCUCCUAGCUCCACUCAUCAAGGAGAUCCUCGUCUAUGCCUUUGCGAGUUUAGAGACUUCGAGUUGGGCCUUAGUAUUUUAAAGAACUUUUAUCUCAGAAUAUGCAUAGAAGCAAAACCAUUUGAACCUUUUCUUUUAUGACAUGAAGAACUCGCCUGUACCUGAGGGUUGCAACUUCUUGAUAAAAUAUUAAUGGUUAUCUAACAAAAAAAAAUAAAAUAAAAAGAAGAAGAAGAAAGAUGCAAUCAACAUGAGUGCAACUUCAUCGCCAAAUCGAUCUCCUGAAAAAGAGCUAGUGGUAGAAAAAUUCAAUCGCGUCAUCACAAGGAGUUGCUUAGGUCAUUCUACAGAGAGAGUAUAAUGAAAUUACAAGGAAUUAGCUUUCACAACAUUAUCUUUCAUAACUCCAUACUUAUUUUUGUUGUCGCAAUCUAAUGUAAUAGCAAACAUGCAUGCCCUCAACAAAUACGUUGGAGUAGGAGUAAUUGUUACAUCAACUUGAUCAUAUGUUUUGGCCUGGUUAAGUUACUUGAAUCUUAUUAAAAUUUCGAUAAAUUGUUUCAAUUUUUAUUUGAGAUCGGUGUUAGGAAGUUUUUUGUUUUUUUUUACCAAAGAGAUGUUUGGAGUCAAUAUUUAUUGAGAAAAGGAAAUGUAAUUGAAUUUAAUGUAGGAUUAUUAAUAAAAUUGUAACUAAUUGAUCCUAGAUUUAAAACAAACUAUAAUACAAUAAUAUAUACAAUCACUAUUAUAUAAACCCAAACACUCAACAAAUAUUAUGAAACUAAAUCUAUUUAACAAGCCUUAAAAAACAAAUUGCAAAUACUUAAAAAGACAUCCCUUCUUGUCUAUUGAAAAUCCUCUCUGCAACAUCCAUAGAAGUGCGAGAUGGAUAGUCACAAAAGGUAGAAAAAUAUUGAAUAAACUCUACCUUUCGAACUUUUCAGGACCAUGUAAGAUGAACUGAUGACAAAAGCAUUGCGAAUACAAUGAGGUGUGGAGUUCCAUAACAAAAUCUAUGAAAGGAUAUAUCAUGUUAAAUCCUUCAGACUUUGAACAAGAAGGACGAAAGGGCACUCAUUGGAGCAUUGAUUCGCAUGGUUCAUCAUGAAAAACAAAAACAUUGCUAGGUACCUCAACAUGCUCAAUACUCGAGAGGGUCCCGAAGUCCACUAAAAUGCCACAAAAGAGGAGGUGAGCAUGGGGAGACACCGGCCUGUGAUCCGGCAACCGCCCCAGUAUCACCUUACCUUUGUCAUAUAUUAUAGAAUGCUUCAUUUCAUGGAUGGGACGUGGUGCCCUUAUUAACUGCCACAUUCCUAAUCUUGGGAGGAAAAAAAAAAAGGUGGCUGACAAAUCAUGCAUGCCUUACCAUACCCAAAUACCUUAUUUUCCAACUCCUUUAUCUACCAGCAUGCAAUGUCUCAUAGUUAUGAUUAGAUGAUUGACUCGUGAUGCGGUUCAAGUUAAAUUUUUUUUCAAUGUAAAAAAUAUAUUUAAAUGUUGUUAAUGUUUUUUUUUCUAGCAGAAAAAAAUGCAGCUCAUAUAACAAUAUUUGACUAAACAAAAUUUUAAAAUGAUAUUUUUUUUAAUAUUAAAAUAAUAACAUGAUAGAUUGAUCUGAGACAACUUGGGUUAAUGUAUCAAAUUCAUGACCUGGAUUACAAGACUAUAAUAACUCUACAGAAGGUAAAUCAAAAUAAAUUGUGAAGCAUAAUUCUCAAUCAACCCAAUAUUAAAGAAUGGAACUGAAAAAAAAUUAAUUAAAAAAAUACCUAACAGAAUAAUCCGAGUUAACAUGUCAAACUUGCAACUCGGGUCAUAAGACCGAGAUAACUCCAUGAAAAGUAAAUCAAAACAAAUUAUGAAUUUCAAUUCUCAAUCAAUCCAAUAUUGAAUGAUGAGAUUAAAAAGAAAAUUAAUUAAAAAAAAGCAUAAAAAACAACUUGAGUCAAUCUACCAAACUCAUGACUAGGGCCAUCAGAUAGAGAUAACCUUAUAAAAAAAUGACAUGAUUUAACCCGGGUUAACCUGUCAAAUCCGUGACUUUGGUUUUGAGACUAAAAUAAUCUCAUAAAGAGAAAGUUAAAAUAAAUUUUAAAUCUCGAUUUUCAAUUGCCCCUGUCGAACCUAAUGUUAAACAAUGAAAUUUGUAAAAAUCUUAAUUAAGAAAAUGACAAAAAAAAAAAACAUAAGUCAAGUUAACCUGAGUUAACCAUUAAGCAUUAUUCUCGGAUCAUAAGAUCAGGAUAAUUUAAUGAAAAAAAUUGAAACAAAUCAUGAAAUCUAAUUCCCAAUCAAACACAAUAUUAAUUGAUGAAAUUAAAAAAAAAAGUCAAUUAAAAAAAGAGAGAAAAAAUAAGUCAAUUGGAUUAACCCGUCAAACUCGCGACUCGGGUCAUGAGACAGAAACAACUAAUAAAAAACAAGUCGAAUGUUAAAGGAUCGUGUCCCAGGUCAAGAGACUGAUAUAAGCUCUUAAAAAGAAAAUUUUAAAAAAAAAAAACUUAAUUUAACUAGGGUUAAAAUGCCAAAACCUAUGACCUUGAUCGUGAAACCAAUAUAUUCUCAUAAAAAGCAAAUGAAAAUAGAUUAUGAAGCUUAAGUUCCAGCUGGCCCAAUGUUGAAUGAUAAAAUUAAAAAUAAAAUCAAUUAAAUAAAAAACACAAAAAACAACCGGAGUGAGCUCGGGUUAAUCUAUUAAUCACUAUUCUCGGGUCAUGAAACCAAGAUAACAUAAUAAAAAGCAAACAAAAUAAACCAUGAAGUUUAAUUCUCAAUCAAAUUAAUAUUAAAGGAUGAAAUUGAAAGAAAAAUAAUUAAGAAAAAGAGGAAAAAAAAUCUAAGUCGACCAGGUUAACCUGUCAAACCAAGUCAACCUGUUAAACAUGGGGUCCAUGUCAUGAGAGUGAUAACUAAAUAAAAAUAAUAAUAUUAAAGGAUGAAAUUAAACAAAAAAAAAUUAUUGAAAAAAAAAUCAAAGAAAAAAAAGAGCAAAGCACUUUCUUCCAAUAAAUAGUGCUUUGUAAGGAGAUGUACACUAAAACCCCAUCUUCCUUUAGUUUAUAGUUAAUGAACAAUCAUACCAAACCAAAAGAGGCCUUAUCUUCUAAUUAUUUUAUAUAAAAAAAAAUUUGGGUUUCCAAACCCAUUCACUUUCCAAGCAUUCUUUAUUAUUAACAAAAACUAAGCCUUGUUGCACUCAUGCUAGAGCAACACAUAUUGUUUAUCAUCUCAUAAAUUAUUAUGGAUUUUAAUAUUUAAAUUUUUAAAAUUUAUCAAUUUGGUUCUUAAUUUUUUUUCCCAAAUUAAGCCUUUUAGAAUUCAAAUUAGCACCAAAUUCCAUAUUUUGUAUUCUUGAAAUGAAGGGUUGGAUUAAAAGUAAGAGGACCAAAAUGAAAAUGGCAAGUAAAAUUGGUGGUGGCUUCAAACUUCAUACCAAAAAAAUUAUUUUCAUCCAUCAUUUUUAUUUAUUUAUAGGUGAUCGGUCUUUUUAAUUAUCAAAAACUUAAUUUUGGAACCAAAGCUCAUUUUUUUAAAGUUUUUUUUUUGUUAGAGGAGAGAGAGAGGAUGUCAAAUUUUAGCAUAGAAAGAGAAAAUGAUCGUUGAUGAUGAUUUCAGACACCAAAAAAGUUGAAAUAGGUGUCAAUAAGUUCCAUUUAAUAAGGGUAGUUUUACCUAGGUGCUUUAUUUCCUUCUUCUUGCCCGAUAAGAUAGUUCUGACCAUGGGAAUGUUUUUGGGUUGGGGUUGCUUUUUGUUUUUUAUGCCAUUGAUAUGUUUAUUAAGGUGUUUUAGAUAAAAAAAAGUUGAAGAUGAGUUUUUUUUUUUAAAAAAAAAAAAAAACUAGAGGCCCUUCUUAGCGACCUCUAGCACCGUCCACAUCUUUAAGAAAUUAAAAAAUAUAUAUAUAGACGGGUUCAGAUGUGUGGGCUUGGCUUCUUUUAGGGUUUUUUGGGUUAAAAAAUAAUUUAAAAAAAAUCAUUGAACCCAAUUGAGUUGAUGAAUUGGGUUAUAGGUUUAACGAGUUAAUUCGCACCAAGUAGACUAUUAUUUGUUGUUUUUGCUCCUUAAUGUUUUUUUAAAAUAUAAUUUUAUCCUUUAUUAUCAAUGAUGUACUUUUAUUAUCUUGGCACCAUGUGUCUAUCAUGAUUUUUGUACUUCGAAAAUAAAUAUUUGAUAUAGAAAAAUUAUUAUGUAAUUUAUUUUUAUAUAAUUAAAUAAAAAAUUAUAUUUGAGAUAAAAAAAAAAAUACUUUUUUGUUUUGAAGUAAUGAAGAUAAAGUAUACAUAUUCCUUUAUACUUUUUUGUUUUGAAAAGAUAGAAUUGUUUUUAAAAAAAGUAUAUCAAAAACAUAUUUAUUUCUAUCAUUCCAAUCAAAUAUAUUUUUAUUAUUUUUAUUUCACAAUAAAAACUAAAUGUAACUUUACAGAUACAUUAAAGAGUAAGCUCUUUAAUAAUCCAUAUAGUAGAAAAUUUUUGUGUCCUAAGCUCUCUUUUUUUCCCGGAGAAAUCUAAAGCUUGGUGGGAUCUAAUUGAGCACCAUAUAUUAGGCUUUUUUUUUUUUUUUUAAAUGUAAAAAGGAGCUUACAAACUGAAGUACAGUGUCUCGCAGGAUGCUUUACCUGGGCUCGUUAAUUGAGUGCAUGUUUUUUUAAUGACAUGUUUUGAUAUUAUAAUAAUGGUGAUGAUUUAAAUAAUUUUUUUAUUUAAAAAUAUAUUAAAAUAAAUUUUUUAUAUUUUAAAAUUUAUUUUUAUAUUGAUACAUCAAAACAAUUUAAAAUUAUAUAUAAAAAUUUUUUAGCAAAAAAACAAAUUUCUAAAAUUUAAAGGAACCGCGUUCCUAAACAGAAAGUAGUCUAAGGCUCCGUUUGUUUGCAGGAAAGUGGUUUCCUUUUGGAAAGUGAAUUCCGGGGAAAAUGAAUUCCUGGAAAGUGAAUUCCGGGAAAGUAUUUUCCGAUGUUUGGUAGUGUUAUGGAAAAUGAACUGGAAAACACUUUCCAGUGUUUGGUUGUGUUAUGGAAAAUGAACUGGAAAAUAAUUUAUUAAUGAAUUAAAUUUUUUUUCAAGUUUAUCUAAUAUAUAUAAAAUAUUUAAUAUAAAAUAUUUAAUCACUUACAAUUGUCAUAACCCAAUUUUGAUCUUUUUAUUUUUAUUAUUUAAAAAAAAAGAUGAUGAAAAAUAAAAAUAAAAUAAAUGAAGGAUGAAUUAAAAUUUGGGUUAAGGGCAACAUGAUUGGAAGUUUAAAGAUUUAAUUAAACUCUUGACUAGUUUAAUUAAUUAAAUCAAGGGUUUAAUUGGAGAAUUGAUUUAAUUAAAUUUUAGAUUAUUUUAAUUAAUGAAAUCAAGAAUUUUAUUGAGUUUGAAGACUUAAUUAAACUUUGAUUUAAUCAAAAACCCAUUAUUUAAAUAAAAUAAACAACUCUUUGCAUUUUAAUUCCCUGCUACAGUAGCAGCGAAUUAUAAUUCAAUGCUACAGUAGUGAAUUAUAAGUCGCUGCUACAGUAGAAUUGCAUUUUAAUUCGCUGCUACUGUAGCAGUGAAUUAAAAUGCGAUGCUACUGUAGCUGUUAAUUAAAAUUCACUGGCAGCGUCCGCUAAGGAAAGUGUUUUCCUUUCUUUAUCAUAAGGAAAACACUUUCCUACGGGGAAAGGGAAAGUUUAAGUUGACUGGAAUUGGAAGGAAUUGGUUUUCCUUUGACUUAUUUUCCUGAUAAUCACCAAACAUGGGAAAGUGAGGAAAAUGAAUUCCGGGAAUUCAUUUUCCUUAAAACAAACAAAGCAUAAAUCAAAUUAAAUUAUGAACAUCUCCCACUUAAUCAUUGGUGGUAAUAAUGCCGACACACGCAUUGAUAAUUUAUGUGUAAACUCUAUUUGUGGUGCGAUGGAGCUCUACAGAAGCCCAGAUGAAACCCCACAUCAUGUGAUAUUGUUUAAGCAGAAGCUAGUGGGAGAUGUCAUUUAAGAAGAUAAUUCAAAGUUAAUUUAGCUUAUUAAGAUACUUACUUGAAAACCAGGAUUUUAAGAACAGUUCAUAUUAAAUCAUCAUUAUCAAAAAAGAAAAAAAAAAAAGUAUAGAUCAGAUUAUAUAUAUAUAUAUAAGCCCAAACAAAAAUAAUAAGAGAAAUCUUAAUUGAGUAAAUGAAAAUAGAAUGAAGUCACGUUUUGUUUUUUUAAAAAAAUAAGGUUUUUGUGUAUUAAUAUUUUCCGAUAUAAUUCUGUUUUUUAUGUUGUUUUUAUACACGUUAAUAAUUUAAACAAAUUAAUAAUUAAACUUUCGGUGUGUUUUGAUAUCUACUUGAAAAUUAAGAUUUUCAGAAGAGUUCAAAUUAAAUUAUCAAGAACUAACUCCAAUCGGAAAAUCCCCAUGCUCAUCUAGAACCAAAAGGGAAAAGAUAUUUAUUGAGUCAAUGAAAAUAUAACAAAAACCACAUUUUUCUUAUUUAGUAGUACAAAUUUGACCUAAAAUUGCCGCGAGAAAAGUAUUAACUUCAACUGGAAACAAGUCUUACACGUGAAAAUUCACUAUGUUUAUGUGAGACGCUGUGAUUUUCUUUUGGCUACCAAUACUCAAUUCUCAAACUAAAUUAAAAAAAAAAAUUAAGAAUUUUCUAAGAGUGAAAUGGAUCUAUAUGCUUUGAUUAAACUAAAGAAAUGAAUUUAAUUACAAUUUUUUUGAACCACUUAAAAAUGUGACCGUGAAGUAUAAAGUGUGUGUUUGGAUGAAAAGUAACUUAUGUUUUUUUAUAUAUAUAUAAUAAAGAACACAUUAUUUUAGCUUUUGAAGAUAUGAUUUGUACUUUAUAUUUCAAAAAAAAAAAAACCAUCCCUACUGGAUAGAGAUUUUGUGAUGGUGACAAGAUGGGUAGCAAGAAAUCAAUCAUUGCGGCCUAGUGGAGUAAAUAUUAAGUUUCUUUGACUUCAAAGGACUGAAAUGGAGAGUGGUAAUUGAUAAUGGGACUUGAUUGACUUCGUCAAAAUGGAUUUUGUACGCUGCAUUGCACUCCUAUCAUUCUCUCCGCGUUCUCCUACGCGUGUGCUGACUAUUGGUAUAUAUAAAAAAGGGACUCAUCUCGUUGGGACCCACUUCUGCACUUCAAUUGUUACAGUCAACCAAUCAAUUCUUUUUUCUUUUUUUUUGUCAUGGGUACGAGGAUGGCCAAAUCACCCCACUCGUUGGAUAUCCAUCACAAUCCGUACGGGUCUUGACUAGUGGUGUUCAUGUGUAUGGUGAGGUUGGAUUUAAUUUUAUACUUAUAUUUAAUUUAAUUUUUGAUAUUUUAUAAAUUUUAAACUCAGUUCAUUUAGUUUUUUUUAUUCAGGAGGUUUGAAUAUGUUUGGUUAGACUAUUUUUUUAUAAAUAGUCAUGAGUUGCAACUUGAUAUACAAUAAAAUAUAAAAGAUAAGAUAUUUAACAUGUUCUAGAUUUAAUUAAUAUAAUCUAUUAUUUUAUUUUAUUUAUAAUACAAAUCAAUUAUUUAAUAACUUUAUUGAUAUCAAUAAAUUUGGAUUGAUGUUAAGUAGAAAUAUAAUGAAGUUCUUUUUUUAUAUAAAUAUUUGAAAUUUAAUGACAAAAUAUAUGAAUAAUAUGAUUGCAUAAAAAGUAAGGCAUUAGUUUGUCUUAAUAGAAAAACAAAUUUAGUGAUUUCCAGGGAAAAAUAUUAAUAUCAUAUCUUUCUAGACUAAAUGAUGUAGCUUAAAGAAAGAUGCCAAAUAUUCAACAAAAAAAAUUAUCAAUCCUCCUAGAAGAAGACUUCUUGUUCAUGCAUGAUUAAUUUUCUUUGUAAUUAUUUUUCAAAAGACAAAUCAUUUAGUAAAAAAUAAAAGAUGAAGUGGGCCUACUAGAAAACAAUCACCUAAAAUCCCCUCCAACACUUUACCUCCCAUCACCAAAAAAACAAAAACAGAAAAAGAAAAAGAAAAGAAGGCUAUCAUGUUCUUAAUUUUAUGUAAUAAUAAAAAUACUGCCACGGUAAGAUAUGAUAUGUUUACCUGAUUCACAAGUUUGACAAGUUUACUCAUUAAUAUAACAUGUUUUUCUUUUGUUUUUGAUCUUUUAAUUGUUUUUAAUUUAUUCAUUUUUUAUUUCAUUAUUUAAUAUUAGAUUGGUUAGGAAAAUAAAAUGCAUUAUUGAUUUUUGUUUGCUUUCUAGGAAUAAAUGUCUCAAAUAAAUAUCUACUUUUAUAUUGGUAUUUAAUUUUAUGAUUAUCCAUUUUAUCAUAUAAUUAAAUAAAAAAAUAUUAAAAAAUUAUUAAAUCCAAUAAAGUCCAUGUCCAGGUCCCCGGAGGAGGUAGAUCCAAUCUAAUCAUCAUCUUAAUAUUUUUUAAAAGCUAAAUAAUGUUUUUAUCAAUUAUCAAGAGAUUGAUAGAAUCAAUCAAUUUAAAUCGAGCUAGCUCUCGUCACAUGAUUCAAGUAACUAAAUCAUUCUAAAAGAUCACUAAAGAUAUCCUUUGAACCUCGUGUAUAUAUACAACGAUCUAAUAUCAACAACUAUUUUUAAACUCAAAUCAAACAAAAAAAAUUGAGGUUUUUUAGGUUUGAUAUCUUGAAAUUUUUAAGUAUUAAAACAUCCAAAUUUUAUGAUAAUUAGUAUGUGUGUGUUUGAUAUUAUGAUGCAAAUUAUUUUUCAAAGAUAUUUUUUAAUUGAAAAUAUUUUUUUUCAAAGUUUUUGUACAUAAAAAAAUUAAUUUAAUACAUUUGCAAACGAAAACUAAUUUGAAGAGUACUUUAAAAAAUAGAUUGGAACUAAAAAAGAAAGGCACCUUAAAUAAUAAAACUUUUUAGAUCAUUGUGAUUUUUUGUUGCUAAAAAUGACCAAAACUUAAUAAAAUAAAAGAGAUUCAUAUUGAAAAUGUCUUUUAAAGUUUUUUUUUUACUUGAAAAUAUAUUAAAAUAAUAUAUAUUUGUUAUAUCAGUACAUCAAUAAAAUAAUUCAAAAUAUUAAAAAAUUAAUUUAAAAAUAAAUUCAUUAUCUAUUUUUUAUUAAAAUAUAUCCAACCACGCAGAUAAUUAGUUUAUAAAUUAAAAGAAAGAGAGUUCAAUUAAAUUAAUGGACAGUACAAGGAGCACUGUACAUAGUGGCAAAAUAUAAUUUUUUUUUAUGAAAACUAAGAUAAUUUCAAAAGAGUUAAUAGAAAAAAAUACAACUUUGAAAAAAUAAUAUAGUUGGUAAAGAAUCAUACACUCUCGAGGAAAUCAAACACACAUUCAUACGCACACGAAAAUUGCCCAGUCAAUAUGAAAUGGCGAACCAAUUUGAUCGUAUGAAAUGACUGAUUUGACUUGCCAUUGUCUCUUUCGCAAGUGGAAAUGUGGCAACUUCUUGGAUUUCUGUGUCUUUAAGGUUGUAGAUUUCAGACAUGGAGAACGGUGAGCAUGCAUAAGGCUACAUUUGUCUCUAUUGAAACGUACUAAUCCAAUCUAACCCUUUUGAUUUGCCAAUUAACUGUGACACAUAGGCCACCAUCCUUAAAAUGAUUGGCUGUUGAAACCUAUAGUCAACAAUUAAAUGUUACCAUUUUAAUCUACAUUUACACUUUUAUUGUCCAAGAAUCUUUUAAAUAAAAAGAAGAAAGAAAACAUUGAAUCAUUAAAUUAAAUAAAACUAAAUCUCCCUUGAUUUCACCGUGCACGGCAACACAAUCUAAUGGGGAUUGUAAUAGUUCAGUAUAGUGAUUUUUUUUUAUUAAUUUUUUUAAAAUUUUAAUUAUUUUAUAUUAAAUUGAUUUAAAAUUUUGCUUUGUGAUUUAUUUUAAUUGACUAGAUAUAAGAAUUUUGUGGUGUUGAGAAAGAAAAUUUUAUUGAUUUAAAUUAAAUGUAACCAUUUUAAUCUACAUUUACACUUUUAUUGUACGAGAAUCUUUUAAAUAAAAAGAAGAAAGAAAAGAGCACAUUGAAUCAUUAAAUUAAAUAAAACUAAAUCUCCCUUGAUUUCACCGUGCACGGCAACACAAUCUAAUGGGGAUUGUAAUAGUUCAGUAUAGUGAUUUUUUUUAUUUUUUUUUAUUAUUAAUUUUUUUUUAAAAUUUUAAUUAUUUUAUAUUAAAUUAAUUUAAAAUUUAGCUUUGUGAUUUAUUUUAAUUGACUAGAUAUAAGAAUUUUGUGGUGUUGAGAAAGAAAAUUUUAUUGAUUUAAAUUAAUUAAAACUUUGGGGAUGGAAUUUGAAAAUAAAACAAAUGUCCAGCCCCUUUUUUUAUUACACUUUUUUUUUCAAUUUGAUUAUUUCAUUUGAGUGUAUUAGAAAUUAAACUUAAUGGUUUGUUCGGGUGACCUAAAUAUGAAGAUCUCGCAUAGUAAAAAAAAAUUCCAACAAUUAGUUAAUGAUUAUUUUGAUAAAAUAAAAUUCAUUUUUAUUGAUUUAAAGCAAUUAAAGUCUUAGGAAUUGAAUUUGAAACUAAACUAAAUCCCUAUUUUUUCCAUGCUAAGGACUAAAUUGAAUGAGUACGGGAAUCGACUAAUACAUGUAACACACGUGCUAGCACAUGAGGAAAAUCAGUAUAUUGUAGAGUCAUGUGGGGCUUUUUUUGAGCUUUGAUGUCAAUCUUUUUUAAUAUCAUUAGGAUCGUUUUGGUUAUGGUUUUAUUUUGCAACGACACUUGUUUUUGGUGUAUUUGGUGGCUUGUUUUUUUUUUUCUUUUCCUUUUUAUUUAUUUGUUUUUCUUUUCUUCUUGAUUUACACACCUUGCACUAUCCAAAAUAGCAAAGUGAACUGUGUUAUUUGUUUUUAAAAUUUAAUCUUUAUUUUUUAAUUGUUAUUUUUAAUAAUAAUUAUAGUUUGGUUUCACAUAAUUUACUUUUAAUGAAUCAUGGAAUGAUAUUUUAAAUUAUGAGCAUGAGUAAUAAUACAAGGUGGAAAAAAUAAUAAAAACACAACAUAACCGGUUGACACGAUCAAUCAUAGAUUGGAAUGGUUAUCAAAGUUUUUUAUUUUUGAUUGUUUUUUUUAUCACUUAACUUUAUUUAUUUAUUUAUUUGAUUCCUUCAAGCUUUAUAUUAAGUUGAUUUGAUUUGAAACCGAAAGAAGUACUCAUGCCUCGUUUUUUUAUCUGUGAAGUAUGCAACACAAGUUAUAAUCAUCUCAUGGGUUGAAAAAGCUUGAUAAAAAGGGUCGAAAAUGCUUUUGAUUCUUCUUUCUUCUUCUUCUUCUUCUUCUUCUUCUUCUUCUUCUUCUUCUUCUUCGUUUUCUUUUUCUUCUUUAUAAUUAUUAACUUGACUACAAAAGAUCGAUCACCAGGUUUCUGAUCUUUACUUCCAUGUUUUUCCGAUCUAGGCAGCUCUCUGCCUUUGAACCAGUCAACCAUAUAUAUGUGAGAAUAUUGCAAGUAUGAAGAAGACUUUGCAUGCAAUUGAUCACGAACAUUAAUGAUCAAUUUGCUGCAUUUCCCUAGUUUUGGACUAGUUCAAAAUAGAUAUUAGAUGGUUUUGGGAAAAGAGAGAUCAGACUUGUUUGCAAAUUAAUGCAAUUAAUUCUUGAAGAGAUUUAAAACUGUAUUCGGGCUUGACAAACGAGGAUGUGAAGCAACAUUCAAUUUGCAUACACAAAAGUCGAAGGUGAAAACAGUGAAUUAGGAUAGAUAAUUAUCAUCAACUCUAACCAAUAAAUUUUUUUAAUUAAAAUUUAAUAUUUGCAUUUGUAAUUUUUUUUAUUAACCUAAGUGUCCAGGCUAGUUUAUGUGCACCUAAACUAAUCCCACGAACCCUAAAUUUAAUGAAUAUGUAAGUUUUUAGUAGCCCUGAAAAUACUCGAACUCAUGACAAUUGAAAGCAAAUUUAAAGUUUAAUCAGUUAAGCUACCUCUCAAGAUUACAAUUAUUGAAAAUUAAUAGUUAGAAUAAAUGUGGAAAUAAAGUGUAUUAUAUGUAUCUUCCUUUUAUAAAUAAUUGAUAUAAAUACAAGAAUAAUUAAUUAAACACAAAAAAACAACUCCAUUUUCCACUUUAAAAUAUAAAUAGUUUUUAAUUUAUCAGUAUUUUUAAUAUAUCCAUUCAUAAUCAUGAAUCUCAUCAAUAUAAUUUAAAUUGUUUCACUCAUCAAGCCCAGAAAGACAUUCCUUUAUCAAUAUGAAUUGUCAAUAAUUUAUUUUUUUCAUUAAUUGAAUUGUUUUUUUUUAAUUAACAUUGUAUACAUAAGCUUUCACUUUAUUAUAUAAUUUAUCAAGUGUUUAAUAUAAUUAAUUUUACCUACUCAAGAAUUAAAGGAUGUUUUUUUUGUUCCCACACUAGGUUUAUAAAACCUUCGAGUUAUCUUUACUUUAUGAACUUAACAUUCCCUUAUGUUAACUUCCAAGUAGAUUACGCGUUCUGAGCUUUAUUUUAAUCAGGAAUAAUAAUAAAAAAUGACUAAAAGCAAGUAAAAAAAAUAAAGCAUAUCUUAAAUAAAUAGAAUAAUAAUUCUAUGCGUAACUGGAAUUAACAUAGUUUUAAGAAGCUCCCUUAUGCAUGAUAUUGAUACAAUUGUAGUAUCCUAUUGGAUAUAUUUUUAUUUUUGUCACCUCUCAAGCUUGGAGAAGGAAAUUGAGCAAUUAUAUAGUUCUUACCAUAAAGAAAAUUAUUUAUUAAACAUAAUUCUACAAACUAUUUUUUAUAUUUUAUUCAAAAUCAUCAACACUCAUGAGAAUUUGAAACACAAUAUAUCACAAUAUUUUUUUUAUAUUGAUAUGGAUGUCUAAAUCAACUUGCGUACAUCUUUAUUAAUCUCACGAAUUAUGAAGUUAACAACCAUAUAUAUUUUUACUAUUUAAUGACCCUGAGAUUUAUGAAACUCAAACUAAUAACUUUUUAAAAAAUAAAUUUAAAACCUGAUAAGUUAAAUCACGCAUCUAAAAAAUAAUACAUCACAGUUUUACAACUUCUCCAUAUAGUGGGCAUGGAAGUUGUGUCCAGGCAGGAACAUGAAACAUCAAACAGAGAUAUUAUACAGUGUGUGCGUGUGAAUAUAGACUUUCAUCAAGCUGGAAGAUUCACUAGGAAAACUGUUGGUCGAGUAAAAGGUACGUCAUUGUAACACGGUUUCACAUCAUGUAAGGGAUUUGAAGUCAAAGUUGUGAUUCCAUUUCCACUGACUUUUAUUUGAAUGGUUUUGAGCUAUAUCUGAGCAACUUUAUUUAAAAUAUAUUUUGAGGAUUUGAUUGGAUAAUAUUUGCUGAUGAAGAUUGGUCUAACCGCGUUUUCAUUGUCAUUUUCACAUGGAAAGUUGCUUCUUUUUUUUUCUUUUUUUUUUGUCUGUGAUGAUCAAGUCAUCCAAUGACUGUGACGUGUAGCUAUUUGACUAACAAAUAAUUUAUCUUGAUUAAUUCAUGUCUAUGAAAAAUGUACUCGAUCUUAGUAGUAUAUUAUAUUAUCGUCCAAGGAAAAUCAAUGUCACGUGUGUGUGAGAAAAUCAAAAGAAGAAAAAUACUUCAUUCAACUAUUUCAUUUUUUCAAAAACAAAUAUAAAAAACUUAUUUAAUUUGAGUUUUAUGAAAUAAAAAUGGGUAUGAUCUCCUAACUAAUUUAAACACAAUCGAUGGAGGAUCUUAAUUAUCUCAAGGAAAUCUAGUUGCAAUAUUUUAAUUUAAUUAUUGCACUAAUGAAUCAGAAAGAUAGGUUUUUAAAGGUAAGUUUUAGAUGAAUGGACCAGCUGAUACAGGAAUAUUUCAAUAUAUUAUCAAAAUAUCAUUUUAAAAAAUAUUGCAAAUUAUAUAUUGUCUUCCCGAAAAAAAAAUGAAAAAAAUUAUUGUUUUUUUUAGCCGAUAAAAUCUUGGACUCCAACGUUUUUUGUUCUCACCUCUUUUCCUCCUUGCACAAUAAUUUUAGAUCUAGAACUCUUUCUAUUAGAUUUAAUGUUUUUAUUUAUGUUUGGUCGAUUUAUUUAAUACUUUUUUAAUUUAAGGGUGUUUUUAUACUUUUAUAAAGGUGUAUUGUAGUGAAAUUCUUAUUUGGAUUUAUACAGAUAAAAACCGAGUGUGUUAAUUGUCCAUCAACUUUGUUUCUCCAUGAAUUUUUCAACGUGUUUUUUUUUAGUAUUUUCAUUCUCUAUAAAUUAAGAGAAUGUUGUUAUAUCUUAAUUGAAUUCAAAUAUAGAUGUAAAAGGCUUGUUUAUUUCAGUUUAAUGAAAAAAAAAUAAGAAAAAAUAUUCAUUCCUACGGUAUAAAAAAGUCAAUAUGCAACAUGUACUUUAAUUUUGAUCAAUUACAUCCAGAAUUGCUUAAUAUAGUGAACGUUUAUUCACUCUCAACAAGAAAACAAUAUAAAAUAUAUAUAUAUAUAUAUAUAUAUAUAUAUAAUUGAUAUAAAGAAAUUAUAUCAAGUAAAAUAAAUAGAGGAUCAAUAUUAUUAAUUUAUGAAGUCUGAUAGUAUCUAAGAUAUUUGAUUAAUCACCCAUUAUAGCAAUUUCAAGUGGUUUGUGGAUCUUGCUCGAUACUUGUAAAAAAAUCCAUUCCUUUGAGAAUUGAACAUCAAUUUUUUUUAUAUAAUUUUUAAGAUCCUUUUUUUUUUAAGGGAAAAUGUACAAAUAUCAUUAAAAUAUCUCUGUUUUGUUAGAAUAAAAUAUUUUUGAUGUAUCAGGAUAAAAUAUCAUUAUCUUAUUAUAAUAAAAUAGCUAUGACCUAUUAGGAUAAAAUAUAUGUUUUAUCUUGAUAAAAUAUCUCUAACUCAAUGUCUCAUUAAAGAGUUUAAGAUUCUUUUAGAGUUUAACAAAAAUACAGGCUUAACGUUGGUGGGUCAUGUAAAUUACUAGAUUUAUAUUUGUCUAAACUCAACACUUAACUAAAAUUAUAAAUAAUAGAUUUGACCGCUCAUCAGAUUCAAAAACACAUGGAUUUAAUGCUUGGCUAAGCAAGAGAUAAUGGCUCACAACCUCCUCUAUGAUAAUCUAAUAAAAAAUGAUUGGAAAUAGGAUUUUGAUUCAAUUUAAAUUCUAUAAUGUAAUCUUCUUCUUUAAUUAGAUUCAUUUACUGCACAUCUCUCUCCAGCCAAGAAAAUUACCAAAAUUCGGUAACUUUGAACAUCAAUUGAUGAAAAAAGAAGAUUAUUUACUGCACAUCUCCAAAGACGAUGAACCAAAUUUUCAAUCUAAUUAAUGUUAUCUUAAAAUCAAGUUGCCUAUUUUGUCCGGUCAAAUGCAAAAAAAAAUAAAAAAAAAAAAUCAUUGAAUCUUCUAUCUGUCUGACACAGCUGCUGUACUCUAGAGAUGACCCACUGCAAUAAAACAACUCUACGGUCUUCUGAGUUCUGCCUGAUAUACGGACAUAACUAGUUUCUUUGGACAUAGCAGAGUGGAUAAUUCUGCUGAACAUGCAUAUCACCGGUUUAAUUCUUUUUUUUUUUUAAUAUAUACUAACCUUGUUAGAGUUAUUUAUCAAACCGGCUGGUCAGCAGAUUAAGACUUGGCAAUACCAAGCUUGAUUUUGAAUUACAUGAGUUGAUUUAUUCCAAGAUGGAUAUAAUUUAUAUCCAAAUUAAUCAGUGAUCUAGAUAAUUUAAUUAAAAUUCAAGUGAAAUUUAAUUAAUAAUUUUUUAUUCAGAAUUAUGUUGUUGUAAUUUUUUUUUAAAAUCUAAUAAAUCCAUGUUAAAAAAUAAUAUAAAUCAUAUCUUGGAAUUUUACCUAAUAGUCUAAGCUAUUGAGUUAAAUUGGUUCUUUAACAUGGUAUCAAAGUCUUGAUAACCAAGCGGUCACAAGUUUGAAUUUUACCACCCCAUUUAUUUGAUAAAAUUAAGUACAAGAUAAUAUGGAUUUGUGCAAAUUUCAUCCCAAAAAGCUUUCACUUGAGAAGGUGUGUUAAAAAAUAAUAUAAAUUAUAUCUUCAAACCUCACCUAACAACUUAAAUUAUUGGGUUGAAUUGAUUCUUUAACAAUCCAAAUCAAAUACUAGCCUAUAUAUUAAUUUAUCCAACCAUUGAUCCAGACGAUAUAUUAUAUCUAAAUUUGAGUGACUUUUAUCCGCUAAUAAUUUCCCUUUAUAAAUUUGAGAGACAUUGUCAAGUUUCAUUUCUUGAAAUUGAAUUUUUCUCAUAUCAAGUGCAUUCUAAACAAGCUUUCGUAUGCUGGCUGAUGUAUUGGGAAGAAAUUUUCGUUCUACCAUAUAUUUCUAGAUUCGAAUGUAUGAUGAUAAUGGUGAGAAAUAAACACACUCAUUGAUUGAUUCAAUAUAUCUUCAAAAUAUUAUUUGACAUUUUAUUUCAUUUUCUAUAUAUAUUUCAUGGAGUUUCGAAGAUACGUGUGUGUAAUUUGAUUUAUAUACAAUACUUGUUGUCGAAUACUUCAACACAUACGGUUGGACCAUUGUCAUUGUUGCUAGUACCAUACGAGUUUAGCUUACACGACAAAGCAAUCUUUAGAAUCCUUGCCAAGUAAAGGCAUAUUAUUUUUUUUAAGUGAAGGCAAGUAAUAUAUACUGAGAGUAACAUAUAUAAUCACUUAUAAUUAAGACAAUUAAAUCACAGUUUAAACAGUCAAUGGUAUGUCACAGCAUAUUUAUACGAACCUUUCCUCAGAAUUGGUAGGAGAGUUGACAUUCAUAAAAAAUAUAUAUAAGUGAUUGGGAAGGCAAACUGAUGAACGUAAUGGUGGCAGAUUUGCUUGGCCUUAAUUAAGCAACAUCAGCUAACAAAAACUGAAGAUAAAACCCUAAUAGUUUGACAGAUUCUUGUAUUAGAGAUUGAUUUUAAAAUUUGCGAGGAAAGUGAGACGUUUCUUCUUCGAUCACGUCUGCUUAAUUCCUUGACGAAAUCUCCAAGUGGACAGGCCUCCACAGGCUCAUUCAAAUGCAAAAUCUUGCCACCACCGCCUGCUUAAUUCCUUGACGAAAUCCACCACACCUUCCCCGUGAAAGGAUCAUAUUUUAAUGCCGGCAAAUGAUCAUAUGCAGUCCGCACUUAAAUGUUUACAAAGAACUUAAUGACAAAUUAAUAGGAUUAAGUAUAAAAAAUGGACCAGCUGGUAUGUUCGAGUGAUCUAAUUGCAUUUCAUUUAGUUAAUGUUUCAUAAUAUAAAAUAUACACGUAUUUUGUUAAAUAAUUUUGAAUAAAAAAUACAAUAAACCGGGAUAAUUUUGAAAUAAUUUUUGUAUUUUUAAAAUAAAAUAUAUUAUCGUCACCAAAUGCUCACUGAAAUUCUUCCACUCGAUUAAUUAAUUAGCAUUGCUAACAGAGCAUCUCAGCAAUAGAUAGAUAAAGAGAAAAAAAAUUACUUGAAGUUUUUUAAUAUUAAUAAAGGCAAGAUGAAGCCCACAUAGCACACAAGGGGAAAAGGAGUGAUAACCCAAAAUAUAUCAUUCACAUACAAAAGUUCAAUAUUGAUUUUGUAAUUAUUAAUAUUUUUGUACUAAAAGAUUAAAUAAAAUAAAUAAGCCUAAAUCAAAGAUGGGGUUUCCCUGGAUUCUUGACUUAUUUAUUUUCUCUGUCGCAACUAAUGACCAAACUACGAGCAAGCCCCACACGAAUUAUUAUUUUUUCUUUCCAAAUGAUCACAAGAGCCCAUUUAUCCAAGAAUCUUGAUCCAAAAUCAUUCUCGAGCACUGAUUGAGAGGAGGAUCAAACAUUGUUGUUUGCUUCCUGUCACCGACAACAUCACUGAUUAGCACAUCCCAACUGUUCAGGUAAUCACCCCACAAGCCAAUGUCGACGUUAUUAAUAGGCCAUUCAAAAUCUGGCAGUAGCAAGUCUUCAAGGAUAUUGUUUGAACCAUAUGAAGAAGAAGAAGAAGAUGAUGUCGAUGUCGAUGACGAUGAUGAAGAGGUUGGGAUUGAGGUUAAUGAAGGAGAAAGUCCACAAGGGACUAAGAUUUCAUGGGGUUCAAUUAGUGGAACUUCAUCUAUGCAAAAACCAUCCGUUUGCUCCAUUGUGUCAUAUGUGCUUGCGGCCAUGUUAUUGAUCUCUUCCUCUUGAGUUACUGUUGAUUGUAAUGAUGUCUCAGGUUCCUUAUUUUGGUCCAGUUCGGAUACGAUACUAGUGGAACAAGACUGUUGUACAGCUUGCUGCUCUAUUUCUUGUAUAUUCUCCUGCACCUGAACUUCUUGCUGUGGUGGUGGUGACGGCGGUGUUUCAAUGGUAGAGAGUGGCUUGUGAGUGAGAGGAUCAAUUCCCAUUUUCCUUAACUUUUUCUUGAUGUGAGUGUUCCAAUGGUUCUUGAUUUCAUUAUCAGUUCUGCCGGGUAGAUGUGAUGCAAUCUUAGACCAUCUGUUAAGCAGCAAUAGGAUAAGUUUCAGAAUAUAUCAAAUGAUCAAAAGAUUAAUUUAAAAAAAAGGUAAAGAAAGGGGAAAAGUGGUGGCAUGAAGUUUUAUGAUGAGGUUGUGUUAGGGACCACUACAAAGCAUGGUGACUCCUUAUGACCACCAAACACCAACUACAGAUGAAUGGUCCGCAGCAAGCACAGCUUGCACAAUAAUUACAUAAGAACAUCAUGGUUCUAGAAAUGUUUUCGAGUUCUUAUAUAUAAAAAGAUUCGAGCAGUGCUUGUGGUUGACAAUCUCCAUUAACAGCCUGCAGAGUCUGAGAAUUCAUUAAAUAAUGCAAAUGGAACCUAGCUAGUCCAACAUUUUGACAGUUUUGCAGUCCAAAAUAACAGCAGAAGUUGAAUUUUAAUCCUGGCUCAUGGGAUGCUACUAAUUAUUCUUGAGGUAAAUGAUGGGGAGGUCUUUCUAACUCGGAGUUGGCUCAAAGCUUUCAUGGAUAGUACUGAACAAAACUUUACCAAAAAUUAAGGGUAUUUAAGAAAGCCUGAUGCGUAAGAAUGGUCGAAGUUAGCUGUUGCAGGAGAUUGUAUCUGAAGAGUUAGUGAAGACUGAAAAAGAAAGACAACCUGUUGCCAAGUUGAGCGUGGAGAUCAAUCACCAUCUUCUCUUCGUAUUCUGAUAGAAGACCUCUCUUCAAAUCUGGUCUGAGAUAGUUUGUCCAUCUCAGCCUGCAACUCUUCCCACACCUUAACAAUCCUGCAAUGACAUCAACCAUGGCAGUGGUGAGUUAAAGAAGAAUACUUAUAAAGGUUCAUUUUCAUUUCUUCAGGGAUAAAAAAACCAUGAAGAUAUCUCUCUCUCUAAACUCAAGAAACCAUAGCAGCCACUCUCCAAAGAAAAGAAGAGAGAGCAGCUAAAACUGGAAAUAUUUAAGCAUAUGAAUGACGGGGAGAGACCUGCAAGCUUAGGAACAGCUCUCCAGCAACAUUGACCAUUAGCGAGGAUGAAGUUUAUGAGUUUCUUAUCCUCAUCGGAAGUCCAUGGCCCUUUCUUCAACCCAACUUUGUCACAACACGGUUGCCUUCCCAUCUCUCACAAACAACUGAUCGAAGACAGAGAAAGUAAGCUUGCAACGACAGACUCUGCCUCUUCAAAAAGAUACCCAAAAAACAAGGCAAAAUGUUUGUGGGAACUACCUACUUAUUUAUAGAACAACUCCACCCCCAAAUAGACUUUGGCAACAUGGAUUUUUCUUAGACGUUGGUUUUUUUAAUUUAAUUUAAUAUCUUGGGCUUCAUUUUUCAUUGGUAGGAUGGUGUACACGUGUUAAUGCUCAAGACAACGCGUAGCACACGUGCGAUUGUCAUCGUUAGAUAGCUCUGCCUCAUCAAACCUUUCUUUCCUUGUGUUUGAAGCAUGAGUAAAACAAAAACUACCUACUUCACCCCACUUUCGCACAAAGCUGUAUAACUUGUAGUCCUGCUUAAAUAACAACCAAGUUGACUAGUUUAUCUAGUUAGCUUGAGAUUAAUCAUGUUAAAACUUGGUUUUUAAUUUUUUAUAAUUUUUUUAUUAAAAUAAUAUAUUUUUAAUUAUUUUUUAAAAUGAAAAAUUUGAAUGAUUCCGGGUUAAUUUUUUUAGCUCGUAAUUAAGCUUUAUCCUGAUUAAAUACUUAGCUUUGUAAAUGUGUUUUCCCACCUCCAAACCAGGUGUAAGGGUAAAUGUAAAUAAUCAAAUUAACAGUAAUACCUUGGUAAAUAUAGGGCGGCAAUGGAUUAGAUUAGGAUAAAUGUGUACUUCUUUCUAACCUAAAUUAAUAAUAACUUUACUUGUUCAUUCUUUUGAUCUAGUUGAGUUAGGCUGGAUGGAAGACUUGUUCUACCGAACCAAAGUUACCAAACCUUUAUAAAUUCAUUAUUAUAAAUUAGAUAAAAUUACUUUAUAGAAUUAUAUAUAUUAACAAAAGAUAAAACAUAAUAUCAAAUAUACAACGUUACGCUAACCUCUCACCUGACCUUUUAAUAAAACAUGGACGGGGUAUAUAUAUCCGUGCACUUUUGACACCAGUUAAAGUAAAUAAAUAAUUAAUACUUAAUUAAUGAAUCGGAAUAUAUAUGUACACACACAGAGAGAGGCACAUAAUUAUUAGUGUUGCUAUUAUUUAUUAUUUCAAUGAAAGAUUAAAGAGAUUUUUUUAAAAUUGAAUAAAAAAAACUAAAUCGCAUGUAUUUCUAAUUCAUUUUGAUUUUUAAAAUUUUAUUUUAGACAAACUACUUCACAUUUCUUAUUCAAAAUAGAAUUGAAAGAAUAGGGAUUGGAAUUAAAAAGGCUACAAACAUGACCAUAAAUUUUGAAAAAGAUACACUUUGAUCCUCAAAUUUUAAAUAUAAUGUAUAUUAUACUUGGUUUUGGGUUGAUUUUGGUUUUUGGGAUGAUUUUUAUUUCUUUAGAUAAUUAAUAGGUUUAUCAUGAUUUCUAAAAUAUUUUAUAUGUGAUUUAAAAUUACUGAUAUAACCUUUUUAGUUCUAUAUAUAUAUAUAUAUAUAUAUAUAUAUAUAUGCUGUAGACUCUCAUGCAAAGAGAUGGGGAGGUACAUCCUCUUUCGGGAGAAGAUACCUCUUACUAGUAAAUUAAGGAAAAAUCAAACAAAAUACAACCACAUCUGGAAAAAUGGUCCUCGUCCACUACCACUACUCUUUGCUCUCUCCAAAUCCUGUAUGCAGUCCAACUUGUACAGCCCUUCUUGGGAAAAACGAAAUAAAACUACAACUCUUUAAUUAUUAAUAGUCAAGCUGAAUUAAAAUUAAAUGAGUUGAUUAUUCAUUACAUAUGAUCAUAAACAUGAUUACACAUGCAUGGAUGGAUGUUGAUUGAUGUACAAAGUAUAGGUUAUAAUAUAGUGCUUAUCAUCGGUCCAAGUCCACAAUUUACUUGAUUAAUUAUUACCUUUUGUUUCUUUUAAAGCAACGCAACCCAAUUUAUAUAAUUAAGCCUAAUAUAUAUAUAUAUAUAUAUAUAUAUAUAAUUUGGGGAGUUAAAACUCCACAAAUAUAUUUCAAACCCAUUUCAUGAUUAAACAGGUCAACUACGAUAAGAUUGCAUUCAAAGUCAGCUCCAUGUUCAGUCAAGAGUUACAAAUAAAAUGUCGAAUUGUUGAAUUGUUGGCCUGACCAUGCAAUAUUUAUAUUUUCAAAUAUUAGGGAUAUUAAUUAUUAAUUUUUAUUUUCAGUCUAAGAUGCGCACUGAGCUCCAUCGUUUGUCUUUUAUCCAUUGUUUUCUCUCCCUCUCUCAUUCUUUCUGGCUUUUUUUUUCUUUUUGGUUUUUUGUAUCCUUCGGCCUAUCCUUUUUCUGAAACAAGUUGAUUAAUUAGGGUUAAAUGUCUACCAUAACUUUAUAAAUUAUAGCUGUCUAAGUUAGUCUAGUUGAAUAAUUAUGGGCAAAUUUUUUUAAAAAAAAAAAGUGAGGUGGCUAGUUUUUUAUUAUACCAUGGAUAAUAAUAUGCUCCUAACCAUUAUACCUUGUGGAUCGUAGGCCGGUAACAGUAGCUCAGAUCUCCCUCCAAGAGAGAUAAUCUUGAGCCCUUUUAGUUUUAUCAAUGUCCAAGUUUUUGCUCAUCAAAUCGACGUAAAAGCUCUCAUUUUUUAAAUUAUGUGCAUUAAAAACAGCAAUUAUUCUAUAUAGUUUUUAAUUUGAACUAGAAAAGAUAGUAAUUCGGUCAGAUUUCAUUGACCCAACAAGAUCUAUGAUUUGGGUAAUUCGUAUAAAUUCAAUAUAAAGAUAUAUACAGAUUCAAUUCAAACGACACGUUAAUCUACAAAAAUGUGGACUGCGAUUGCAUGCUCUCAAUGGAUUUGUCUAUCAAGAUGGAAUCUUUUUCUUUUCACAUCCCAAAACCGCGUCUUUCAACCCCUAGGCUGCAUGCAUCUGCAUCUUUAUUGUAGCUCCCAUGGCGUACGUGGUGGGGUUGCUCACUGUGUCUCUCUCAACUCUCAAGACUCAAUUUUUGCAACUUGGUGUGGACUUCGACAGCGAAGGACAGAAGAGUUUUUUGGCACAUUCAUAACUUUAAACUGCUGUUAAACAAAGUCUCUCAGUCUUCGCUUGUUUUCUCAACUCAAACAGCUAAAACCAUCCCCUUUCCAAGUCUACUUAAUUAUCAACAAUUUUGGCAAAUAUUGCAACUUCUAGAGAGAGAAUAAUGGCACCAUGGGUCGAGGAUGACUUGCCCUGGAUUUCGAAUCUUGAUUAAAUACUAGCAUUACUCUUAUUUUUCUAGAAUUGAUGUCAUUCUAACGUGUGCAUGGCGAGAGAUGAUUGUGAUUUUACUUUUUAUUUCAAGCUUAGGAGCCAUGGCUGCUGGGAACAAUAAAGCAAAACACAGGUGAUGGAGGCUAAUAAUUAUGAUAGAAAAUAUUGGUAAAAGGGAAUUUUUUGUUGUUGUUGUUGUGUUCUUGAAUAGUGUUUCGUGAUAGAGAGAUACAAAAGGGAAGUGAAUAUAUUUGGUUUAGCCAAAAAAAUAUAAAAAUAAGUUUAUUUAUGAGAUCAUUUUUUUUUUUUUAAUUCCCAUCCUUCAAUAUAAAUAGUACAAAGAAAACAUGUUUUUUUUAUUUUAAUUGUUUUAUCUUUUCUAUUCUAAAACGGCAACUAAACGUUAACUUAGUAAUUAUAUAUCUAUGUAUACUCCCACUAAUUGAGGUUGUGGGCCUCUUGCCGAAGAAUUAAACAAAUAAAAAGUUUAUUUUUUUUAUUUUUGUCCGGAUAUUCUCAUAUCAUAUUCUUCAAUAUAAAAAAUUAUUAGUGUUAUUAUUAUUUAUUAUUUCAAUGAAAGAUUAAAGAGAUUUUUUAAAAAUUUAAUAAAAAAAAACUAAAUCGCAUGUAUUGAGUAUUGUGGAUGGCAUUGUUUAUUUUUUAUAAUUCAUUUUGAUCCUUAAAAUUUUAUUUUAGACGAAUUACUUUGAAUUUUUUAUUUAAUAAUAGAAUUGAAAGAAUAGGAAUUAAAAUUAAAAAGAAUACAAACAUGACCAUAAGUUUUGAGAAAGAUACAUUUAUGAGAUCAUUUUGUUUUUGAAUUCUCACCCUUCAAUAUAAAUAAUAUUGUUAAAAAGUUUAUCUCAUAAUAUUGUUAAAAAGUUUAUUUAUGAGAUCAUUUUCUUCUUGAAUUCUCACCCUUCAAUAUAAAUAGUACAAAGAAAACAUGUUUUUUUUAUUUUAAUUGUUUUAUGUUUUCUAUUCUAAACGGCAACUAAACGUUAACUUAGUAAUUAUAUAUCUAUGUAUACUCCCACUAAUUGAGGUUGUGGGCCUCUUGCCGAAGAAUUAGUGAUUGUGAUCAAACAAAAAAAAGGUUAAUUAGUGUUAUCCCUUAUCAACAAUCAUUGAGCUAAUUAAAAACACCAUGGAAGGAAAGAUUAAACCAAUUAAUGAGCUCAGCAAUUAAGUAGUGAGAAAUGCGAUUCUUCCUCCCAAGCAAGAGUGCUCGGUGGGUGUUUAGUAUCAAUUUCACAUGGUAUUUUCAAAGUGCUGGAAGCAUUUACAUCAAUUUUUGCAAUGGAAGAAUUUGUGCUGUGCUCCUGCCGUCAUCACAACUUUUCCAUCUUCCACCGGACUGUAAUCGGGCCGGUGAAGUCCGGGACAGCCACUAUAAUUAUCCGAUGAAGGCUCGACUAGGCAGCCAUUAGAAGUAAGGCUAAACGCAACAAGCCCACUAGCCAACUGAGGCUCAAAGACAACGGCUGGGCCUUGUGAAAUGCUAAUGAUCUGUGCAAAGUCUCUAAUGUCACCAUCUCCCCAGCCCACUAGGUGUCUACUUUGUUUUCUUAAUCUUUUUGUUCAAAACUUGAGGUAAGUAUCCAUGAAAAUUUAUUAAGUUGACGUAUAAGCUGGCUGGAGGAUAUCACUUAUAGUUGAACAAAAAAAAUCCAUUUUUAAAUAUUUUUAUUAUACUUGAAGUAUUAAUGAUGUUAUGAACAAGGUUAAUUAAGAUAUUAUAUUUAAAAAUAUAUUGCUAGAAUCGUCUUAAUAUCUUUCAAAUAAUAUUAGAUGUGUUAAAAAUUAAAUUGCAUGUCUUCCUUGUAACUUAUUAUUUCUUCCAGAAAAAAAUUGGUUGAUGUUUUUGUAUGUUAAUUAGUUUCUAUAGGAUAUGUAUUUUAAAACAAUUAUUAUUUUUAAUAAUGGUAUGAUUAUGUUCAAAUUGUAUUAUUUUUCAAGUAUUUUUUUAACCUAUAUCAAUUUUCCAAAACUUUUAUGUUUUUUUUUUUAAAAAAAAAUCUAACUAGCAAUUGUUCAUCAUUGAUGAUGAUGAUGAUGUUCAAGCUACCCCACGCAAGGUCCAUCAAAGCACUGGCAAUUGUUCAUCAUUUAGCUCCAAAAACUGGUUUGGCCGAGAGGGUAGAAUCAUGUAGAGCCUAAAAAUCAUACUCUGUUUUGAAUCUCCCAUAAGAUGAUCAAAGUGAACCAAUCAUCAAUUUCCAGCUGUCAACCCAAAACUGCUUCGAUCCUAUCUGGUAUCUGCCUGUAGUUUUACAGUCCACUAUAGCCCUCUGGGGCCUGGCAAUGGCAGAGUGCCAUGGAUAGAACUUAGAAGAAAGAUGACAAGAGAUCAACUCACUGGGGGGCCUGGUUCGAGUGAGUCCAAGACAAUUAGACAAAUUCAUUUUAUGUGGUUGAUUCAAGAGAUGUCGGGACGGUUUCGGAUUGUGAUUGGACUGCUUCCUAAAUUUAUUUGAAAUUUCAUUUUUAAGAAUUGAAUAAACAUUUUAUAAAUGUCAAAAUCAUCCAAAAGAAUCUAUAAUAACACUGGUUUAAUGAUUUUUACAUGAAAAGUAUUUUGAAAAAAAAUAAUUUUAACCGGGAGUAACUCAUAAUGCCCAACAGCCAAUCACAAGCAUUAAUAAUUUUGAAAAAAAAAACUUAAUUUAACUUGGUAUUUUAGUUUGGAGAUAAAAACUACAAAAAAAAAAAAAAAUAAGUGUUGGUAUAAAAUUAGAACAUACGAAAUUCAACUUGUAAACACGAUAAACUUCCAAAGCAGUGUGUUAGGGGAAAAAGAAAACUUCAAUUGUUUCAUUUAGAGAAACUAAAGGUUGUUUUUUCUUUUUUAUCUUGCACUUAAUCUUAUGUUUUUCAGAUGCAUUAAUAUUUAUCAUGUUAGUUUAUAUGUCUAUCUGUAAACACAAAUUUGAAUAUUUAAAAUUCAGUAAACACUAAUAAAAAUAAAAUAAUGUUUUAAAUCAGAUAUUACAAUUAAAAACAAGUAUCAUUGUAUGAGUUUAAGUGCAUGAACCCACAAUUAAUCCAUUUAUUAAAUGGUGAUUUUCGAGAGGCAUCACGUAUUUGACCUCUUGAUCAUUAGAGAUAUUUUGUAAUCUUUACAGCUAUAAUAAUUCACACCAACAAGUUUUACAACUUCAAUCAUUUUUUUUUACAUUCAAGAUCUUUUUUGGUUGAUUUUGUUGCUGAUGGACUAACCGCAAACGUAUUGAUGAUGCUGCUUGCAAAAAUUAUUUUCUAAUAUUUGACACACCUGAGCACACUUCAACGUAUUAGAAAUGGACAAAAAAUAUUGUAAAGCAUUAUGAACUGACCAAGAGAAGACAUAUAUUUGAGGUGUUGUUUUCGAAUACCUUCUUAUAUAUAAUUAGAAGAUAAAUGUUAUACAAUCUUUCUAUAACCAUUUGAAUCCUUCACUAUCACAUUAUAAAAAUUAAAAGCUUUUAGUGACCUUUCUAUUUCUGACAUCUUUUAUGAUGAAGUUGUUUUUUUUGCUAACGAACUUGAUGAAAUUUAUAAGAAUAAAGGUUUUUUUUUUUAAAAGUUGCAAGUAUCUAUUUAUUUCUUUUCAUGACGGAUCUAAGAUUGUUAAUAGCGAUCAAAUGAUGACUCUUCAGGAUUGGUGAAUUUCUGGUUUCGUGAUGACAUGCGAUAUAUGAUGUAUUUCUCUACAAAUUAGAGUGAUAAGUCAAACAAUUCUAAUAAGGUUACUUAUUCAUUAGGCUCAAUCAACAAGUCUCACAUUCUUUUCUAAAAAAAUCAUGCAUUCUCUAAAAGAGCUUAACAUCCCCUUUAAUAUUCAAGAUGAAGUUUAUUUUAUAUAUAUAUAUUUUCAUUUUAGCCAUGCUAAUUUGUAUUCUUUAGUAAAGAUAUUGACUUUAUUUGUUCUAGUGCUCUUAAAGUAGUAUUUAUAAUAGCAGCUUGAAGACAAUUCUAUCUUGUGAUAUUAAUUUUAACAAGUAUUUAAAAUGGUCUAAGAAAGAUUAAAUCUGCAUCAAGUAAGGUUGUGCAAAACAUUUAUUUUUUUAUUUAUUUUUCAAUAACAUAACUUAUUAAAAACAUAUAAAAAAAUUUGCAAAGGUUAUGAGUUCAUCACAACCUUCACAAACGUAUUUGGAUAUUCAUAUCUCAAUAAUAUAAUCUUAUGUGUCGUGAUGUUCCUAGCAACAAUUUAUUAUUUGUGCUAUUUUGUUAAAUAUUUUUUGUGAUGCGAUAAUUUUUUAUUUUUUUGCAUGGGUUAGUUUAAAAGAAAUUAUCAAUCUAAUGAUUCAAAACCUUUACAAACCAAUUUGGGAAAGAAUCUAUUAGUUAGAUCAGUAUCAUUGUUCUUAAAAUGCUUGAGUUUAAAGAAUUCUUGAAAUGCUAAUUCUAUCUCCUUUUCUUCAACAAAAAGCUUGGCAACUUGGAAUGAUAUUCCCAAUUAUUAACAGAAAAAGCAAGGAAUCCAAAUAAAAAAAAGAGCAUUUUAAUAAUUCGAAAAAGACAACAAAAUGGACCGUUGGGUAUCCCUCCAUAGAAAUCUUGUUUGUUUGCUUGUAAAAAAUUAGGUCCCACGUUGGCUAUCCGAGUCACCAACACAGAAAUGACAGCAUCAAAUUUCACAGCAUUCAAGACGCUUGGUCCCAAAUACCAUCACAUCCAAACAAAGUGCAAAAAGACCUCUGAUUUAUAGGAAGAAACUCUUAACGGUAACAAAAUUUACUGGGCUAAACAUCCUCGAUUUUCACUUUUACGCCUUACUACAAAAGAAGAUGACCUUAAAAAACAUGUAAGCGGAUAGUGAUAAAAGUUUGAAAUUAAAUUUUUUUUAAUAUAUUUUUAUAUUUAAGUUAUAUAAUUGUUAAUAUGAUAAUAACCAGAGGUUUAUAUGAUUGUUAACUUUAGAACAUGUAAAAUUAAUAGAGAUACACGUAAAUUCACACGGACACCCAUAUUAAUAAUAAUAAUAAAAUAACUUUAAUCCCUUUAUCCAAAAAAUUUACGAGUUUUCCUAUAUUAGUUGUUAACUCAUCAUAGAUAUAUUUAAAAACUUUUUAUUUUGAUGUUAUUAAAUAUGUUAAUAGAGUAACUUCUAGAUUUAUAACCUGAUUUGAGUUAAAUUUUAUAUCAAAUUACAUUGGAGUUAAACAUAUCAAAUUCAAUUUAUUUAACACGUCGAGCUACUCAAAACCUAAACAACAUCUAAUUUGAUUAUUUAAAAAGAAAAUAAUUCUUAAAACAACAUAUUUUAAGAUUUAAAAAAUUAAAAUAAUUUAUUUUGAAUUUACUAGGAUCAAACAAGGUUCACCCAUCCAACCAUUGAUCUAUUCUUGGGUUGGGUUAUUGCUAUAACUGGUUUUUAUAACCAUGCUUAAUCAUGCAAUAGCAUGGGAAAACUCUUUAUUUUUACAAAAGCUUGAUUUUAUUUGUGAGGUUAAGAAAUAAAAAUAAUAAUUCAAUUGAAACGAUCGUAGAUUUCUUUAAUUAGUUGGUCUUUACAUUAAGUUGUAAAGCCAAAAUAAGUGUAAAAUCUUUCUAAUUUCACCUAUAAAAUAGCCGGAUAAAUGUUAUGUGUAAGUGUGCAGGAUUACAAAAACAAAGAAAGUUGAUUUGAUCAAAUUUAAAGUAAAAGGUUCAUUUCAUCAAUUAUAUAAAAACAGAGGGAUCAGAUAAAAUGGUUUAUAGCAAUUUUACCAACAGCAAAACAGAACAAGACCAAACAACUAAAGUUUGCCCAGGCUUUGGGUUUCUUAUUACACAACAACGUCUUUUGCGUUACACUUAUAACACUGCUUUGUUUGUCCGCUGUGUAAACAAUUGCAGAUGAUAUCUUCACCGUUCAUUCUCUGAGCUUCUCUCUCUACUUUCCUUACUUUCUUGUUUUUCGACCCACUUCCUUUCAUUAGUCUUCCUUGUUACCACCAUUUUCACACUCACUCUCUUUCUCUCUACACUUUCCUGGGGUCUCAAUUUUUAGUUUCUAUAGAUAAUGUUCUGGAAGAUGGAGUCUCUGUUUGUUCUUACACUUCUGGUCUUAGCAGCAGAAGUUUAUUUUGUUGCUGCUGAUGAUGGUAAGGAUUUCCUGCAUUCUUUUUUAUGUCUUCCACUUCUUGUUUUGCUUUCACUCUCUUUUUUUUCAACGGCUUCUAUAUUAUGGAUUCUCUAAUGGUAUCAGAUUGUCUACAUGUUCUUCCCUGCAUUAAAAGCUUUGAAAUGAUUUGAUCUUGAAGUAAAAUUUUGCGUAGCAGCUUGAAGGUAAAGCAGAACGUUAAGUGGUUUUGUGAAAAAAAAGCUGUCAAGAUUGUAGGCAGUGUCUGUCUUUGUGCAUCUGUGCUUGCUUGUGUGUGAGGUUUAGCUGGUUAGAUAUUAAAUUAGGACAUAAAGGAAUGACAGAGGGGAAGUUGGGACCUGGGGGAUUUAAUUUAAUGUUCCUCAAUCUAUGCUGAAUGUUCUGUAACUGAACGGAAGAAAAGGUUUCAUUUCUGUUCUUUUAACAUUCUGUGAUAAAUGUUUGUGUAUCGUGGAGGCCAGCUGGUUCUAGAUUUUGUUUUUCUCUAGGUCCUCCUGGCUACUGUAUCUGAACAUGACCUUGUUGAAAACUUGGCCUUCACUCUAUACAAAUCCCUUAAAUGCCCAUUUCCUUCUUCACGAUUGAAUAAAUAGGAAAGGGAAUUUUGUAACCUCCUAGUUUCUAACAGGCUACUAUAUUGUCCUACAGCUCAUAGUUUAUUUCAUUUUUUUACCCUCUUGUUCUUUCGUAAAGGGAUAUGGUUCUGCCUUGGGUAGUGCAAACGGUCAAAGUUUAGAGAAUUAAAGCCCCUCUUCUAGGACUUGAAACCUGGGCCAGGCAUGGUUGGGAACCAUCAAUGCUACUUUCUUUUUUAUUUUGUUUGUUUUAUCGCUUUAUCCAUUUGCAAGCAUCCUUACUCUCUGUCACCCAUGCUUCAUUCUAGCAUCUUAAAUUGCAAUAGUCCAUCCCCAUCAAUCUACCAAGGAUUUGUGCAUGCAUUUGUAAAUAAAUUUAUGUUUUUUUUUUUUGGCCUAUUAAACCAUUACAUUGAUAGCAUCAACAUGAUAUGUGCGCGCGUGUGUAUCAAUUUAUAUAUAGCACUCGAGUUCUCUUUCUUGUCACAGCAAGGAUAAAAGAACUCAAAAAGAAAAGAACCAAUCCCAUUCCUAUGCUGUAUACCUGUUUGUCCGUGUGGUGGGAAGCAUCUCCACUACAACGACAUAUGGGCUUUCAAGAGAUCAUUAUAUGUUGGACGUUUUUUAUUGCCUGAAAAUUAUCCGCCUUUUUUAACUAAACACGCUAGUAAUGAAGGUAAGUAUUAGACCAUGAGAUCAAAAACUAGGUAGCAAUGGAUCAAACUAGCAGGGUCAAAUAAUUAGAAGGUUUUGUGCAAAAUAAGAUAUCAAACCUUUUGAAUGAAGCAAAGCAAGCAAAACAAAAGUUCAAAUACCUACAAAUGAUUCUUUUUUGGGGUGUUGUCUUCUGUGUAGUUUCUUCCUGUAUUUAAGUAAUUACCAAGACAAUUAAGGUUUAAGGUAGAAUAAGGGUUUUUGGUUUUUAAAUAUUAAGUGUUUUUGCAGAUGGUAUGGCUUCAAAUCCAAUGGGAAUAAGAAGAUAGUGGAGUUAGCUUAAAAAUAGAUGCAUUAUCGUAGCACAUUACUUCCUCUCAUUUUCUCUCUUCUUCUCUUGAAGUUCUAAGAGAAAAUUAUGGACAAUGGGCUAAUUUAACAAACCAUGCUAGAAAUGAGGAUGCCUCGGAGCCUUUGAGUAUCAAUGCUAACAAGUUGUAGAUUUUUAUCUCCUUAAUCAUUUCAAAUAAGUUAUUAUGCACCGGUUUUAUGAUGGUUUCGUUUGGAGAUAGUAUUGCCUACUAUGAUUCUAAGGACCACAUGGUUAGUUCACUUAAUUUGAUUCAACUAAUUAUCUUUGUAGGGCAUCAUGUUUCCACAAUUUAGUCUGAUUCAACAGAGUAAAUUGGGUAAAUCAUGAUGUUCUUUAGGCAGUCCUAUACAAUAGUGUGUUGAGUUUCUCACAUUCGAGUUGGAGAGAGUAUUGCCUACUGUCGUACUUAAGUUUUGAUUGGUGUAUAUCCCACUAGUUAAAGUGUGAGUUCGCCCACCAUUCUUGUCAACAUUACUUUGCUGGCAAGAGCUGAACUCUUGCCAGCAAAACUAGGUGGUAGGUGGGCCCAUGCUGUAACUAGUCACUUGGUUAGGGUGUGCUAUUCAUAGCUGGUCCGUGAAAGUUAAUUUGUUACAAGCUUAUGAGUCGAGCCAUCUAAAUUGUCCAUAGGACCAUCCAACCAAUAGGACAUGGCUGAUCAAGAAACUAGUCUUUUGAGAAGCCAAUUCUCACUUUGUUUGCAUAUAAAGAGAGACAACUUAUGCUUGACAAAAAAAAAGGGAGACUAGUGAAGAGGUGGCAGCUAAUGGAGGUAAUUCAAGUAAAAACAUGGAACUUUACAAAGACUUAAGCUUGAAAGACCAUCUGAUUUUCAGCCCGAUCUAUGGAAGGAAAACUAAGUUUUCUCCCUCGAGCCGCUUCAUGGUUCACUGCUGAAGUCUCAUCACAAAUUAGGAGGGAAGCCAUUCACUUGCAAGGACAUUUUAAAUAAACAUAGGCAGGACACCAUUCCAUUACUCUAAUAAAGUAGGACCUUACUUCAUUAUAAAAAAUCAUUUAAGAUUACUACUGAGGUUACUUGAAGUUGCAAGGUCCUCGUGUAGGAUCGGACCACAUAAUUAUAAAAAGACACAGUUUUGGUGAAUCUGUCUUGUUUUUGAUGUGUUCUUCCUUAGCACUACGAGCUUUUCAACAAAGUCACCAUAGCCUAUUUUUCAGACUUUAUAACACGUGUAGAAGAAAAAUACGAGGAAACUGAUGAUACCCCAGUAUUUGAUCACUUCAUUUCAGUUACAGAAGUUUAGUAUUAUACUUGAGUGACUUGUGUUUUGCUCCUUGAACAUUGUCUAAUAGGGUCGUCUGAUAGGGUAUGAUUAUGUCUGGGCUCUACAUAUAUUUCUAAAAGGUCAAGGAAAAAUUGGUGAUCCUAAAAAGUGCCGAGUAUUGUCUUUAUAAUGUUUCCUCUUAGUUAUAAAGAUACAGUUUUCAAUGUCUUUCUACCAACACAAGGAAAAAGGUAUUGCCAUGUUCAUGUUGAAAACAGAGUUAAAGGACAUUACUGAUUGAGAAAAACACAAUUCACUUGAGCAUCAGGAAACUAACAACAGUUGGUGCAAUACAAUUUUCAAUGUCUUUCCAGCACCACAAGGGAAGAGGUUUUGCCAUGUUCAUGUUGCGAACAGAGUUAAAGGACAUUAAUUAUUGAGAAAAAAACAAUUCACUUGAACAUCAAGUAACGAACAACUAUCACUAAAAGUUCAAAAUGGCCAAAUCACAAGGUGCAUUUUAAUUUAUAUGUUGUCAAUCUAACUUUGUUCUGGGCCCAUCUUUAGAAGUUUCUCUUUUAUUUUUCUCUUAUUCUAAUGAAAUUCGUGGCAUACCUUGAAUCAAGUAAUUGAAUAUUUGUUCGCCCAUACUGAGAUUGAAGAGUUAGCUGCCUUUCCUUCCUGGUUAGAGGAAUCUGCAGCCCUUAUAGGCAACGAUGGACUCGAUGUUCUCGCGUGACCAUGAUCCUCUUUCCUUAGAAAAAAGCUAAGCACCGGGUAGUUAAUUGAAUUGUAUUUUAUCUGUCCCCUUCUCGAUAGCUUGUGUUUUCUGUACUGAAUCAUCUGAACUAGUGGUUUGUGAACUUUUAUUGCACAGUUAUUCCCUCAAGUGACACUUGCAUUUGCAUAAUUGCAUUUUUCCACAUGUUUGUGAUACAUUUUUGACAUGGAUGCAAUAUUACAAUGUUCGCUUUGUGUUUAUUGCAGAAGCAUUCAUUGGUGUUAACAUAGGAACAGACCUUUCUGACAUGCCUCACCCAACUCAAGUAGUAGCCCUCCUCAAGGCUCAGCAAAUCUGGCAUGUCCGGCUCUAUGAUGCUGACCGUGGCAUGCUAGUUGCACUUGCAAAUACAGGCAUUCAGGUCAUGGUCUCUGUUCCCAAUGAACAGCUUCUAGGAAUUGGUCAAUCGAAUUCAACUGCUGCUAAUUGGGUUUCGCAUAAUAUUGUAGCUCAUUACCCAGCUACAAACAUCACAGCCAUUUGUGUAGGUUCUGAAGUUUUCACCACCUUAUCCAAUGCAGCGCCAGUCCUUGUCAAUGCCAUGAAGUACAUUCAAUCAGCCCUUGUUGCAUCCAAUCUAGAUCGCCAAAUCAAAGUUUCAACACCCCUUUCUUCAUCUAUCAUCCUCGAUUCCUUCCCACCAUCCCAAGCCUUCUUUAACCGCUCAUGGAAUCCUGUUUUGAUUCCCAUGCUCAAUUUCUUGCAGUCUACAGGGUCACACUUGAUGCUCAAUAUAUACCCUUACUAUGACUACAUGCAAUCAAAUGGUGUGAUUCCAUUAGAUUAUGCACUCAUGAAGCCUCUUGCUCCAACCAAGGAAGCUGUUGAUGCUAACACACUUGUUCACUAUUCCAAUGUCUUUGAUGCCAUGGUUGAUGCCGCAUACUUCGCCAUGAAUUUUCUGAACUUCACUAACAUCCCUGUCAUGGUAACUGAAUCUGGCUGGCCAUCUAAAGGUGAUACUAACGAGCCGGAUGCAACUCUAGAUAAUGCCAACACUUACAACAGUAAUUUGAUUAGGCAUGUGCUGAACAAAACUGGAACCCCCAAUCAUCCUGGAAUUGCUGUUAGUACAUACAUUUAUGAGCUGUAUAAUGAAGAUUUGAAACCCGGGCCGGUCUCAGAGAAGAACUGGGGAUUGUUUAACGCAAAUGGGGAGCCUAUUUACAUAUUGCAUCUGACGGGGGCUGGCUUAGUGCUAGCUAAUGACACUACGAACCAAACUUACUGCACUGCAAAGGAAGGCGCUGACCCAAAGAUGCUGCAAGCUGCUUUGGAUUGGGCUUGUGGACCUGGCAAGGUUAAUUGCAGUGCUUUAUUGCAGGGAGAGCCAUGUUACGAACCAGACAAUGUGAUUGCACAUGCAACUUACGCAUUUAACAGUUACUAUAAUCGGAUGGGGAAGGCUCCUGGGACAUGUGACUUCAAUGGCGUGGCUGCUAUCACCACUACAAACCCGAGUAAGAUUCUGCUUCUUUAAUAUUCAACAUUUGUUCUUUUAUGUGUGUUUGUUUCUGUUUCUAUUUUUUUUCAUUGGCUGUGUCAUGUGCCACGAAAAAACCAUUUCUGAAGUUCUAAUGCACUAUUUGAUUCAAUGGCAGGUCAUGGUACCUGUUUAUUCCCAGGAAGGUAUGCUAAAUAACCAGCCCUGCCUUUGUUUCGGUCACUAACAUUUGAAUACCCUUUUUCUUCGUUUACAAGCUUGAGAUAAUCAAUUAGGGAUGCUUGUAAGUCAGUUUCUAUGAUGAAAAGCCCUUAUUUCUAAUAUGUUUAAUUGAUCUUUGCUUGCAGCACCGGCAAGAUAAAUGGUAUUGGAAACAUCACAGCCCCAUCAAUGAAUUCCACGAGCUCAGCUCCUCCUGCCCAAAAUCUGUAUAACCUCGGUUCUAUGAGCUUCUUGCUUCUCAGAGUUCUCAUCUGUAGCAUAGUUUUCUUGUAAACUGGUAUGUGCUAAAAUCUUUUGCAACCCUAAAAAUUUUGUGACAGUUUAUUCUACUAGGUGGAAGUGUUUGUUCUACUAGGUGGAAGUGUUUUCCUUUCUCUUGGAGGAGUUUUAGGCGUAGGGGAAUUGGGGCAUUGAAUUUUUGUACAAAAGAAACUGGAGAAGAGCCAGAAUUUAGUUUGGCAUCAACUGGAUUAUUAUUCUUUAUAAUGCAAAGAUGUGAUAUCCUUCUGAGUAUAAUUAACCACCAGCUCUUGUUAGCAAACCUCUUUUCGGUGGAAAUUCUAGUUCAUAUGACAGAAUGUAGUUAAUUGAUCUGCAACUCCAAACUUUUCUUGUCACCCGAAAACCUCCAUUCGAGAUUGGAUCUCCCAACUUAAGCUUCGACUUGUGGGAAGUUAGAUGCAUGGACAAUUUGGCAAGGAUUCGAAUCAGAGAAUCAAUGAAUCCCAAUAUCAAACUGAUCUUCUAUGCCACCUAGCCACAAAUGUCUUCAAUUCUUUCACUUCCACUUUGCCGGUUUAAACACCAUUCGCCAUGGACUCGGCAUUCUCUGGUCAGCUUCCCAAGGCAGUCUUGAAUCAGACACUAAAGACUUCUCAUUUAGUGACUUUGGCUCUAGAUGUUAUGUUCAAUUAAAAUGUGUAUAUUAUCCGGGAUCUUUCAAUUGAGAAGAUUUAUCAACCUGAGACAAGAGAAGGUUCCAAACCCCUGACCGUCAACAGCUGUUUGAAAUCCUUGGCUGGUCUUUUGGAAGAUGAUGGCUUUGUGUUUCUUUGGUUUGUUGGAGACAAAAAUGAUAGCUGCACUGGUUUGGUUUUUUAUUUUAAUUAACCGAACUGAAAUUAAUUAAUUUUUAUUUUUAAUUAAAAAAAUUGAUUUAGAUAUAUUUUAAGUGAAAAUCCAAAACCGAAAUAUUUAUUCUUAGUGACAGUAUAUGUUUUCUAUACUUUUUUAUACAUGUCACCAUCAUUAAUUGAUAAAAUCAUUAUUUGAAAAACAAAGAUUAUUAGGGUUCCCCUAAAUUAAAAAAAAAUUGAUUUAGAUAUAUUUUAAGUGAAAACCCGAACCUAAAUAUUUAUUCUUAGUGACAGUAUAUGUUUUCUAUACUUUUUUAUACAUGUCACCAUCAUUGAUUGAUAAAAUCAUUAUUUGAAAAACAAAGAUAUUAGUUUAGGGUGCCCCUAAAUUAAAAAAACAAAAUCAUUAUUAUCAUAUCAAUAUAUCAAAAUAAUAAAAAAAAAAUUUUAAAUAAAAAAAUCUAAAAAAUUAAGAAAAUACAAUUUGAAACAUGUCCUUAAAUUGAUAAGUUACAGAAGGUUAAUGGUGUUUAGGAUGUGUUUUAACUGGAAUUUUAAAUUUUUUUAAUAUAUUAAUAUUGAAAAUAAAUUUUUAAAAAAUAAAAAUAAAUUUUAUUUUAAUGUAUUUAUAAAUAAAAAUUACUUUAAAAAGCAUGAAAAGUUGAAUACACUGUCAAAAACACCCUUAAUGAAUAAAAAAGAAAAACGGUGCGUUCGGUAGAAUACUAAUCCCUAAUUGCUUUCACUAUAAAUACACUGCAAUCUCUCCGCAGCCACCGAAAUCCCAAUUCCUCAUCUUUCCCUGCAAGCGUAAAUAUCAUCUUUUUUCCUCUAUCCUUUGUCUAUCUCUCUAAGCUUUUUGUUCAUUUUCAAUUUACUAAAGCAUCUUAACUAUGAUUCUAUGUGAUUUAACUCACUUUAUAUCUCAUAGAAUACCAAAUGGUGCAAAAUCAACAUGGUACUUAUUGGACAAGCAGAUCUCAAAAUCCUCGUAUGAAUCCUGGCUUUUUCUCGCGAGUCCCGCUUUUUAUUUUCAAAUCCCCUCCCUACCCUUUUUCUUAAUAUGAUUUUUUUACCAUUGCUCUUACUCAAUAUGUGAAAGAUUGAGAAGUCAGAGGUUUUUGGGUUUAAUGGUUCUGUUUUUUACCACAUCUCCUAUUACCCUUUCGUUGUUUUUAUGCCUUUUGCUGUCUAAUAUGGGAAAGAUGGAGACUUUAGAGACUUGGGCGUUGAAGAUCUUUUUCUUUUUUUAUCAAAUACCCUUUUGUUUAAUUUGAUUGAUUUUAUCAUUUUGUUGAAUGAUAUUUGACGAUUGCUCAAUGAUGAUUGAUUUUGCUUUAACCACACUGAAAGAAAGAGAAUUGAGAGAUUUGGGGAUUCUAAACAAAUUUCCUUUUGUUUAACCCAAAGAAGUAUACUGCUUGUUCUCUUUGAUGGGUGCUUAGUGAUUCUCUUUUCUAUGAGAGUGGAGGUUGUCUUGCGAUCUCUCUUCCAUAGAGGAAAGAAGAAGGCUUCUGUCAAGGAUUACAAACAAGUUUCUCUUUGGUUUAAACAAAAAUAGGAUUGCCCUUCCUCUCGAGUUCUCUCAUGUGGACACCUUUGGCCCUUAACUGAGAGCAAUCGAUUCUUUUUAUGUUUUUUUUGUUCCUCAACCAACGAAUUUAUGAAUAUUAUUUUUUUAUUUUAUGUUUUAAAAUUAUUUUAAUGUCUGGAUAUUAAAAAUAAAUUUUAAAAAAUAAAAAA